rnacentral:lncRNA from 1 species
AAUUCAGAACACUAAAUAUCUUCAAAUUGCCUAAAGUAUAUUGAGUUCUUAUUUUGCUUUGAUUGGAUAAGCUUGGAUACCACCAUUUUGUCAAUCUCCUGCUUACACAAUUUUGUCAAUUUUGCACUGCAUUGAACAAGAAUUUUAUAUAAGGACCCUACCAUGGUAAGAAAUGUAUGGUAGCCAUUGUCGCUUGUGUUAUGUUAGAGAGGCGUUUUAAUUUUACAUCAUGCCAAGAAUUCAUGUUAUUUUAGAUUUCCCUCCCAUCCAAAAUUCUUUAUCUAGGAUUAUUAGCACUGGAUCGCUUCUUCUUAAAGAAUGUCCAUAUUUGAUGUAGGACAAUCCUAAGAUAGUUGUCUAUAUGAUCAAAUAGGGUGGGUUAGAGCUAUGAUGUUAUAGGAUUAAAGGAGGGGAACAAGAAUAAAAUUAUAGCACUGGGGAAAAGUUAAAUGAGGUUAGAAAAACAAUAUAGAGAAGAAAGAUUGAAAGCCUUGGAGCUUGUUUUGCUGUGUUUUUGAAAACAGUUCUUGAAAAACGAUUUUUGUGGAUAAUUCUUAAAAACAAUUCUCAAUUUUUUUCUGGAAUAAGAUUCUAUUUGGGAAAGCAAAUAUGAAAAAUAGUUUUCUCAGCUUAUUCUCCACGGGAGUGUUAUGCACUUAUGUGCAAUGUAAAAAUUUUCAAAGUAUUCUCUAUACUUUCAAUGGUUUCUCAUAACACAUAAAAAUGAAAAAGAAAAAAAAAGGAAAGAAAGAAAGAAAGAAAGAAAAAUCUGAAACCACCUCAAAUUUGUCUUAUAUAUAUAUAUAUAUUAACAAAUUUUUAAAAACCAUUUCCAGUAAAAAAAAUUGCCAAACACAUUUUUUAAGUUAAGAGUAGAAAACUAUUUUCAAGAUCAGUUUCUGAACAAAUCCUUAAAGUUUCCUUUAGCCUAGGAGUCUCACCUAGAGGAAAAUUGAUGAAUUAUCACCAUUGAAAAUUCAAGGCAUGCAAGAAAACUUAAUAUUAUUCCUCAUCAGUUUUGUUUUACAACAAUUAGCAUUAUUUAUAGGCUUUCAAAAAUCCUAAAAAUGGAAUAAAAGCAUAAACAUAGAAACUAAAUUGAUAUAGUAACUUAUUAGAACUCUUAAUUCCUUCUUCAAAUUAUUAAAUCUUCUAAAUAAAAAAAUUAUUAAAAAAAUAAAAACUUCUUUUUAAAUUUAGAAACUUAAUAUAUAAAUUUCUUGUAGUAAGAGUCUCUAAUAAAGAAGACUUUUAGAAUUUCUUUUAAGGAGAAAUUCCCAAUAAAAAAGUUUCACUAAAUGAAACUCAAAUACUAACUAAUAACUAAUUAUGAAUUUAGAGAACCAAAAAAACUGAAAAAUACCUAAAUGCUCUUGAUAGAGUAAUUUAGAAACUUUUUUAUUUCGUUCCAUUUCUUUCUUGAGUAGAUUUUGGAGAUUCGACUCCAUAAAUUUUUUUGGAACUGCUGGCUUAAUAUGCAUCCUACUCGAAUGAGGUACAUCACAUCUAUAGUGAUAGUCAUUAUAAAUCUACACAAAUGAAAUUUAUAAGGAAAAAGAAGUGUCUAUAAAUCCUUACAUGUAGAUUCACGUAAGGAAGAGAUAAAGAGAUAAAGCGGGAAAUAGUUAUAUCCAUGUAAUAAGUAUAAUUAGAAAAAAAAAAUUAAAGAAAGAGAAAACAUUAUGAGCUAAAUAGCGGUAUUCAAUGCAAUAAAAGUGUCUCUGACAUGGAUCUCACACCUGUACCAGUGUUGUUUCGUGUUAACAUGGGUAUUUCGGUUGAAAUUAACAUGUCCAUGUAUAACAAGUAUCUAUUAUGCGUUUUGUAAGGCAUGAUUAUUUUCUUCCUAAGUGUGAUUGCUUAUGAAGUUUGAAGUGUGGAGAAAGUAAGCUCAGGUGAAAAGGAUUCGGAAACUCAGAACACAGAGGAUUUGUUGAAAUAUCGCCCAAACCCAGACAUGCUGAUUAGCAAGACAGAUAUGACUUUUGAGGCAAAUAGAGAUUAUUGUUCUAUCUUGGAGGAGACUGAUCUGUGCUAAUGAAGAAAUAGAGAGAAAGAAGAAACAAUCUCCAUCUAUGACAAGGGAAAACAAGAUGAAGGAAGGUCCAAGGGGUGGAAGAAGAUGGCUUGUUGUGGAGUCUAAAUCUUUUGAGCUUUUGAUUGAUGAUGUAGGAGGAAAGUCGACAGGUGCAUUUGGGAGAGAUGCAGAGGACUAACCUCUUGGAUCAGAUUUGGGGAUGCAAGCCUUAGUUGUUUGUUGGUUGGAGUUGAGACUUGCUGUAGAGGUAGUGAUGAUAGAAGCUGGUCCCUUGUUUGGGAGGAGGAGGGAAGGAAGUAUAGUUUGGAGCGUCGUUCAAAUGAGGUGGGAAGAUUUAUCCUUUGCUUAGUUUGUGAUAUAGAGGCAAAACGCUUUUGCCUAAUUUUUCCAGAAGGGAAGGGGUUGUUUGGUGGUUGGAAUAUUUUGGCAGAGAAGUUGAGAGGGGUUGGGGUAGUUCCCACUGGAGGUUUAAAGGAUCCUCUUUCCAUUGAGGUGCUUAUGAAGGAAAAAGAACUAAUACCAAGGACCUAUGCGGAUGUUGCAAAAUAAAAAACGGGUAGGUUAGGAGAUAAGGUCUGGUUGGAGUUGGGAAGGAGGAAGAUGCAUGGAAGACUAGAGCAGUUGGAUCGCUGUUUAGUGGGUAGAUGGGAAAAUGUUUUGAUCCCUUCCCCUGAGUUGGAUUUUCUGAAAAAUUGGGUUGUUCAAGCUUGGCUCCUCAAAGGGAGGUUGAACAUAGUUGUGUUGGGAAGAGGACUCUUGCUUUUUGAGUUUUAGUUGUUAAGUGAGGCCGAGCGUGUUCUUGCUAGAGAGAAGAGAAGGGUGAAAGACAAUGUCUUAUUUAUGGAAAAAUGGUACCCGGAGGUGGGGUGCUUUUGUACUGGAACCAACGUAAACGAGGCUUGGGUGAGAGUGUUGGGUCUUCCUCUUCACUUUUGGAGCCGCUAGGUGUUUAAAUUGAUAGGUGAUGGUUGUGGUGGUUUCAUAGCAGUGGACGAAAACACAGAUUCUAUGGCAAGUUGCAAUGGGCUAGAAUUUUGGUGAAGGUGGUUGGUAGGGACUUACCUACCUCUGUUCAGAUUGGGGUUGGGGCAAGGUGUUUCUUAGUCCAUUUGUGGUGGGAAUCCCUGCCUUGGUUCUCUCAAGUGGUGCUGGAGGGAAGUAUUCUUAGGGAGGGGGUUCCAGUGGAUGAAGAAGAAGCAGGGGGAAGACCACGUGUCGCGUGUAGUGGAAGAGUGUUGGAGAAGGAGGUGCAGUCCAAGGUGCAGACUUAAGUACAAGUUGUGCCGCCUUGUGGAAGUUCUUCAAAAAGUGCUACAGGCUUUUCCUCUGACUACUCUGCAGGGGGGUCUAGUCCUGAGGUAAUUGAUGGAGAAGAAAGCCUAAGGAAUAGGGGUCAAGGUGCAAGGGGUGUAGCCAAAGUGGGUGGCCAUGGUUUUGGGCCUGAUCUUUGGGAGGCCCAGAAUAGAAGUGGGCUAGGGGAGGGUUUUCAUGAGACUGCUCUAGUGGAGGCCCCGCUGCAAGGUAUGGAUAGCGAUCCAAGGCCCAUCUUGUUAAAAGAAUGGGUGGUGGGUUGUGAAGAGAGGCCCUUUUUCCUGAAGGGUUCUUUAGUGGGCUGCGAGGGGUUCUCCGAAAUGGGCUUCGGGCUUGGAGUAGGGGGCUUAAAAGGAGAUAGGGCUCUUUUCUCUUCGGCGGUGGCAGAGAUGGGCUUCAGAGGAGGAUUUGCAUGCUCAAGUUAGAGGAUAAGGGGCUCGCUUGCUUUCUCGGAGGGGCUAUGAGGGAAUCAGAGUCUCUUACGAUGAACGCUAGAGCGAAGAUCAUUGAUGAAGCGUUGGCAGUUGAGGCAUCUAGGUACGAUUCCUUUCCCGCUGUCUUUGGGGGGGAUCGGGACUUCUUCUCUUCUUCUCCUUCCUCUGGGUUUGAUCGGGCUUUGGUGGUGGGGGAUUUUUCUAGCUCGGGAGGGGUAGACACCGUUGAAGGAGUCGGUUUUCAGGCUCCGUUGUGUGUUGUGUUGACUGAUGGAAGUCCGUGGGUGAUGGAAACAUAAGGGGGAAAGUCUUUGGCUGAGAUUAGAGUAAGAGAAGAAGUUGAUGAGCCCGAGUUUGAUGAGGCACGACAGAAAAGGGAGGUUUCUGGCAGUAGUUGGGAUGAUAGUAGUUUGACAAAGUUUAGCAAAUCUUUGGGGUUUACAACAGAAGGUGUUGAAGGGGAAAUCUUAAAAUUGCUUCUAAGAUUGAAAAACAGAAGAGACCAAGGUAAGAAUAGGGGAACUUUAGGGACGACUAGGUUUGAUCGAGAAGUAAAAAAGUUAGAAUGUUCGAUUAAUUAUGACGGAGNNNNNNNNNNNNNNNNNNNNNNNNNNNNNNNNNNNNNNNNNNNNNNNNNNNNNNNNNNNNNNNNNNNNNNNNNNNNNNNNNNNNNNNNNNNNNNNNNNNNNNNNNNNNNNNNNNNNNNNNNNNNNNNNNNNNNNNNNNNNNNNNNNNNNNNNNNNNNNNNNNNNNNNNNNNNNNNNNNNNNNNNNNNNNNNNNNNNNNNNNNNNNNNNNNNNNNNNNNNNNNNNNNNNNNNNNNNNNNNNNNNNNNNNNNNNNNNNNNNNNNNNNNNNNNNNNNNNNNNNNNNNNNNNNNNNNNNNNNNNNNNNNNNNNNNNNNNNNNNNNNNNNNNNNNNNNNNNNNNNNNNNNNNNNNNNNNNNNNNNNNNNNNNNNNNNNNNNNNNNNNNNNNNNNNNNNNNNNNNNNNNNNNNNNNNNNNNNNNNNNNNNNNNNNNNNNNNNNNNNNNNNNNNNNNNNNNNNNNNNNNNNNNNNNNNNNNNNNNNNNNNNNNNNNNNNNNNNNNNNNNNNNNNNNNNNNNNNNNNNNNNNNNNNNNNNNNNNNNNNNNNNNNNNNNNNNNNNNNNNNNNNNNNNNNNNNNNNNNNNNNNNNNNNNNNNNNNNNNNNNNNNNNNNNNNNNNNNNNNNNNNNNNNNNNNNNNNNNNNNNNNNNNNNNNNNNNNNNNNNNNNNNNNNNNNNNNNNNNNNNNNNNNNNNNNNNNNNNNNNNNNNNNNNNNNNNNNNNNNNNNNNNNNNNNNNNNNNNNNNNNNNNNNNNNNNNNNNNNNNNNNNNNNNNNNNNNNNNNNNNNNNNNNNNNNNNNNNNNNNNNNNNNNNNNNNNNNNNNNNNNNNNNNNNNNNNNNNNNNNNNNNNNNNNNNNNNNNNNNNNNNNNNNNNNNNNNNNNNNNNNNNNNNNNNNNNNNNNNNNNNNNNNNNNNNNNNNNNNNNNNNNNNNNNNNNNNNNNNNNNNNNNNNNNNNNNNNNNNNNNNNNNNNNNNNNNNNNNNNNNNNNNNNNNNNNNNNNNNNNNNNNNNNNNNNNNNNNNNNNNNNNNNNNNNNNNNNNNNNNNNNNNNNNNNNNNNNNNNNNNNNNNNNNNNNNNNNNNNNNNNNNNNNNNNNNNNNNNNNNNNNNNNNNNNNNNNNNNNNNNNNNNNNNNNNNNNNNNNNNNNNNNNNNNNNNNNNNNNNNNNNNNNNNNNNNNNNNNNNNNNNNNNNNNNNNNNNAGGAGGGUGUCUCCGUCAAUGAGAAGAUUCUCGGAGGUGAUCGAUAAUCUGGAUUGAGGGAUCUCCCUCUUCAGGGGGGCCCGUUUACUUGGAGUGGUUGGUUGAACAACCAAGCCAUGUCAAGAUUGGAUUAGUUUUUGGUGUAGGAGGACUGGGAGGGCCAUUUUAGUGGGGUGGUGCAAUGUACUCUUCCUAGACUAGUGUCUAAUCACUUUCUCAUCCUGUUGGAUGGGGGAGGGGUGAGGAGGGGGCCAACCCCUUUUCGGUUUGAAAAUAUGUGGUUGAAGGAGGAGGGUUUUUAAGGAUCUACGGAAGGGAUGGUGGCAAGGUUUAAGUUUUAGUGGAUCCUCUAGCUUCAUCCUUGCAGAGAAAUUAAAGGCUCUGAAGGCUAUUUUAAAAAUUUGGAAUGAGGAUGUUUUUGGGAAGGCGGAGGUGAAUAAGAGAUUGGCCUUGGACAAAGUGGCUCUCUAGGAUGCUCAGGAGAAGUUGCGUUCUUUAUCUUUGGAGGAGCUGGAAGCUAGAAAUGAAGCAAAGGGGGAUUAUAAGAAAUGGGCUCUUAUGGAGGAGAUUUCUUAGAGACAAAAAUCAAGAGAAGCAUGGUUGAGGGAGGCUUAUAGAAAUACGAGCUUCUUUCAUAGGAUGGCCAACUCCCAUAGAAGGAGAAAUUGUUUGUCUAAGAUUAAAAUAAAUGGAACGUGGUUAAUAGAAGAGCAGGAUAUUAAGGGGGGUGUGGUCAGUGCUUUCAAGGACCUUUUGACAAAUCAUGGUGAUUGGCAUCCAACUUUGGAAGGUUUGAAAUUUGAUAGAAUUGACGUUGAGGAAGCAGCUAUAUUGGAGGAGGUAUUUACAGAGGAAGAGGUUUUUUCCGUUCUCUCAGAUUUGAACGGGGAUAAGGCUCUUGGUCCAGAUGGAUUCUCUCUAAGUUUCUGGCAGUUCAACUGGGAUUUUGUGAACGAAGAGGUUAUGGGUUUUUUGAAAGAGUUCCAUGAGCAUUGUAGAUUUGUAAGGAGUUUGAAUUCCACUUUCCUGGUUCUAAUCCCAAAAAACCCGGGCAUGGAGGACCUUAGAGAUUUCAGAAUGAUUAGUUUGGUGGGAGGCUUGUAUAAAUUGUUGGCAAAAGUGCUAGCUAAUAGGCUUAAGAAGGUAGUGGGAAAGGUGGUGUCUUCAGCUCAAAACGCUUUCGUUGAAGGAAGACAAAUUCUUGAUGCUGCCUUAAUUGCCAAUGAGGCAAUAGACUCUUUGUUGAAACGAAAUGAGAGUGGGGUGUUGUGCAAGUUGGAUAUAGCGAAGGCAUAUGAUCACUUAAACUGGAAUUUUUUGUUGUUUGUGAUGCAAAGAAUGGGUUUUGGAGAGAAGUGGAUUGGUUGGAUUUCCUGGUGCAUUUUCACAGCAACGUCUUUUGUUUUGAUCAAUGGCACCCCGGCGGGAUUCUUCAAUAGUUCAAGGGGGCUACGUUAGGGGGAUCCACUUUCUCCCUACUUAUUUGUGAUCGGGAUGGAGGCUCUUAGUAGGCUCAUCUUUAGAGCAGUGAGGGAGGGAGGGUAUCUUUCAGGCUGCAAGAUAAAGGAAAGAAGUGGUGAUGAGGUUUUGGUCUCUCAUUUGUUGUUCGCUGAUGAUACAUUAGUCUUUUGUGAAGCUUCCCAAGAUCAGAUGGCUUACUUAAGCUGGUUGUUGAUGUGGUUUGAAGCCAUCUCAGGUUUGAGAAUCAACUUGGAUAAGAGUGAAAUUUUGCCGGUGGGGAGAGUAGAGAAUCUGGAGGUUUUGGCUCUUGAGGUUGGUUGUAAAGUGGGAAGGCUACCAACUUCUUACUUGGGGCUUCCUUUGGGUGCGCAUCAUAAGUCCGUGGUUGUUUGGGAUGGGGUGGAAGAGAGUUUUCGGAAAAGGCUUGCCAUGUGGAAAGGACAAUUUAUCUCUAAAGGAGGGAGAAUCACCUUAAUUCAAAGCACACUGUCUAAUAUGCCCAUCUAUUUGAUGCCCUUAUUGCGGAUCCCAAGAGUGGUUAGUUUAAGAUUGGAAAAGAUUUAAAGGGUUUUUUUGUGGGGAGGGGGUGCUUUGGAGAGGAAGUCUCAUCUAGUAAAUUGGGAUACCGUAUAUUUGGACAAAAAGAAGGGUGGUUUGGGAGUUAGACGACUUUCUACUCUCAAUAGGCCCUGUUAUGUAAGUGGAACUGGUGCUUUGCGAAUGAAAGAGAGACUCUUUGGAGGAAUGUCAUUAGUAGGAAGUUUGGGGAGGAAGAAGGGGGUUGGUAUACUAGAGAAGUUAGGGAGGGUAUUGGAGUAGGCUUAUGGAAGGAAAUAAGGAAGGAAGGGUCUCUUUUGCAAAACAAAGUUGUAUUUUCUGUGGGGGAUGGUAGAAAGGUGAAAUUUUGGAAAGAUAAUUGGUGUGGGAACUUCGCUCUUUGUAAUUCUUUUCCCUCUUUGUAUGCAUUUGCGUCUUAUAAAGAGGCUUGGUUAGUGGAGUUGUGGGACUCUUUGGGAGAGGAAGGGGUUUGGAGCCCUAGGUUCUCUAGGCCCUUCAAUGACUGGGAGGUGGAGGAGGUGGAGAGAUUACUUUUGACAAUCCGGGGAAGGAGGCUUAAUCCUCAUUUGGAAGAUAGAGUGCUGUGGAAAGAGACUAAGGAUGAGAUUUUCUCAAUUAAAUCUCUUUAUAGUGCUCUAGUUUCAAGAAGUGUUGUUCAGUUUCCUAAUAGCAUUAUUUGGAGUCCCUGUGUUUCUACCAAAGUUGGUUUUUUUGUUUGGGAAGCCUCUUGGGGUAAGGUGUUAACUUUGGAUCAACUUAAAAAGUGGGGGUGGAUUUUAGCUAAUAGAUGCUUCCUUUGUUGUGUGGAAGAAGAGUCUAUUGAUCAUAUUCUUAUUCAUUGCACUAAGGCAAAAGUUUUAUGGGAGUUAUUGUUUGCUCUUUUUGGAGGUACUUGGGUUCUUCCUCUUUCGGUUAGAGAUACCCUUCUUGGUUGCCGUGGUUUUAAUAUGGACAAGAAGCGUAGAAAUGUGUGGAAGGCAGCCCCUUUGUGUCUUUUUUGGGCGGUUUGGAAGGAAAGAAAUAUGAUUGCUUUUGAAAAUGAGGAGCUUUCGAUUCAUAGGUUGAAAAUUUCUUUUGUAUGUAAUCUUUGGUUUUGGACUAAGUUGGUUGUAAAUGAAGGUCCUCUUCCUUUAUUCAGUUUUUUUGAUUGGUUAGGUUCUAGAUGAGGGCUGGUGAUAUUUGUUUCCCCUCUUCUUUUGUUCGUGCCUUCUGGCACCUCUUGUGUACCCCCUGUAUGCUUUUGGGUUAGCCUUAAGGUACCCUUUUUCUAAUAUAUUUCUUUCUCUGUGUUUUUACUUAUAAAAAAAAAAGUGUGAUUGCCAAGGUUUUUUUUUUUUUUUUUGACUUUUUUUUUCUUUUCAUUUUUAACCCUUUCAUUUUGGUUUAUAAUUCAAGAUAUUUUUGUAGUGCUGAAAAUCUAAGUGCAUGUCUAGUAACCUUUUCGAAAAUGGUUUUCAAAAAGUAGUUUCCAAGAAUAGUUUUGAGAACAAUUUUCAAAAACAAUUCUUGUGAAUAGUUCUUAAAAACAAUUCUUAAUUAUUUUUAGGAACAAAAUUCUGUUUGUGAACUCAAAUAAGAAAAAUGGUUUUAUCCACUCAUUAUUCAUGAAGGUAUUAUGCACUUAUGUACAAUGCAAAAUUCCCAAAUUUCAAUUGUUUUUCAGAACGCUCUACCAAAAAAAACAAAACUGAAGACAGCACAUAAUUGUUCUAAAAAACAUGUUUUUAGAAUAAAUUCUCAAAAAACUAUUUUCUAUCAAAAAUUUGCCAAGCAUGGUUUUUGAGUUAAAAAUUCUAAAGACUACUGAGUUCCCAAACUGGCCUUAAGAUCCUAUGGCAUGUAUUUUUGUAAUCUUAGUUGAUAAUGUAUACAGGUGAGAAGGUGUAGAGAAGUCUAGUUAGACAAACCUAAACCUCUCUAAAAUUUCUCUUUCUCCUUUCUCCUCAUCUUUUUCCUAGCCUUAGUCCCAAUCUCACAAGUUUUACUUCUAACUCGAUAUCAAAGUACCAAUCAAUCCUAGACUUUAUUGUAAAUUGGAUAGAUCAUUUCUAAAAUAUAAUAACAAAAUAAAAAUAUUCUGAAAUUUCUGUGGUUGAACAGAUUGAUUUUUCUGUUAGUGGUAGUGCCAUUUGCCCAUUUAUUUGAGGCCAUUUAGUUGAACUUUUAUAUAUCUCUAUGAUUUUUAUGAAUUUCAAUCAUGUUUUUGUUCUGAAAUUUGAGGAGAAAUGAUCCCAUUGACAACAUGAUGAUAGACUAAUGAAUCCUUCGUUUAAGGUUAGGCAUCAUUUGCUUUACUCGUUGGAAUUAAGUUUUUCUAAGUUGGGGAGAAUGGUGGGUAACAAUAUUCAGCAGGAAUAAUUUAUUUUAUUAGAAGUGAUUUAGUAGUUUUUUUUGGGGUCAAUUUUCUCGUUGUUUUACUUUCUAAUUUGAUUUAAAAGGGAGUCAUGUUCCUACUUUAGUCUUACUAGGAAAAGAAGUUCCACGAGUCUAUAUAAACUUAUGUAAAUUUUAAUGAAUAGAACUUAUUAUGAAGAACUAGGUAGCUUCUUAAGGUGUGAUGACCUUCUCUAGGUAUGAUUGCCUAGGAAUCUUGGUGUGAUUGCCAAGAUCUAUUUUUGUCGUUUCAUUUUACUUAUGUAUGAUUGCUUAGGAAACUUUAGGUGUAAUUGCAUAGAAACCUUUGUGUGGUUGCCAUGGGUCUGUCUUUUCUUUUCUUUCUUUUUCUUGUAUCUUCUUAGAUCCAUCAUCUCAUUAUACAACAAAAGGAAUUUUUAAAUAGUGCUGGAUUUUUUUUAUGGUUCUGUAUCAAAGUUAUUUUUUUCUUCUAUUUUUGCAACUUUACAUUUUUCUUGCUCUUUUAGUCUUUUUCUGCUUUAGCUUUCAUUAUGCAUUGCUUUGUCAUCAAUUUUAGUUUUCUGCUCUAGUGUUUGUUCCUUGCUGUGAAGGAUUUUAAUAGCUUGUUUUUUUAGGUUUUUCUGAUCUUUCCUCACCUUGUAAAUCUUCCGCUGGAAAAGUUCCAAGCGAUACUUGUUCAUACACUUCAGGUAUUUUUCUUUCCAAGGUUCUCCUAGAUACCAUUGAUAUUCUCUAGUAUUUGGUGAUUGCUCUAAUCAUCUAAUCAGUAUAUUUGUGGGAGCAUUAUAGAUUACAUAUGCAGAUUGUGGCAUCUCUUAGAAUUGUCUAAGAAAGAGUGUAUUUCUUGACUCCGGUUUGAGUUAAACAGUGCAUAUUAGAAUGUAAACUUUCAGGCACUGAACAUUUGUAAUCUUGCAUUCCCAUUUUGAACUUCUAGCACUUGCAUUUGAUAUUACUAAUGCCAUGCCUUUCAUAUCUGUUGCUUUCCUGGUUUAUCUAUGUAAUUGUUUCAUCUAGAGCUUUGUCUCAAACUUUCCUUUCUUUUUAGCUGUCUUAAAUUCAUUUUAGCAAUUGACCUUUUUAUUCAUAACAUUAUAUUUAUCACAAACAGUUUAUUGGUUGCUAAAUGAAGCUGAAGUCCUCUGUUGAAAGGGCGAGGCUGGAGGAGCCUUUUUCUGAGCAGGAGGUUUCCAAGGCUCUUAAGGGCUUUAGUGGGGAUAAAGUGCUUGGGCCUGAUGGUUUUUCUAUGGCUUUUUGACAAUCCUCAUGGGGGUUUGUGAAGGAGGAGGUCAUGGGGUUUUUCAGGGAGUUUCAUGAUCACAAUUGUUUUAUCAGAAGAAUGCAACUUUCCUAGUCUUGAUCCCAAAAAAGGGGGUGUGGAAGAUUUAAGGGAUUUCAUGCCAAUUAGUUUGGUGGGAGGGCUGUACAAGUGGCUGGCUAAAGUGUUAGCCAAUGGGUUAAAGCUGGUAGUGGGUAAGGUGGUCUCCAAGGCCCAAAAUGCCUUUGUGGAGGGUAGACAAAUUCUGGAUGCUGCCCUUGUUGCUAAUGAAGUCAUAGAUUUGAUUUUGAAGAGUAAUGAGGGGGUGGUGUUGUGCAAGCUUGAUAUAGAAAAGGCGUAUGAUCAUGUAGAUUGGUCCUUGCUUUCAAUUAUGGAUAUGAUGGGUUUUGGGGAGAUAUGGCUCUGGUGAAUGCAGUGGUGCAUCUCUACAACGAGUUUUUCCGUUUUGGUUAACGAGACUUCCUCAGGAUUCUUCCAAAGUUCUAGAGGUUUAAGGCAGGGAGACCCACUCUCACUGUACUUAUUUGUGAUUGCCAUGGAGGCACUUAGCUGCAUUCUAAGGAGAGCUUUAAGUGGGGGUUUUUUGUCAGCUUGUAAGGUGAGGGUUAGAGGGGGUGAAGGGGCUCAUGUGUCCCACUUAUUAUUCGUCGAUGAUACUUUGGUUUUCUAUGGGGCUUCUCAAGAUUAGAUGAAGUAUUUAAGUUGGACUCUAAUGUGGUUUGAGGCCAUUUCGGGGUUGAGAAUUAAUUUGGAUAAAAGUGAGUUAACCCCAUGGGAUGUGUGGAAAAUGUGGAAGCUUUGGCUGCAGAACUUGGUUGUAAGGUUGAGAGUCUCCCCUCUUAUUUGGGAUUGCCUUUGGGAGCUCCUUUUAAGUCCAUGGUUGCAUGGGAUGGAGUGGAGGAGAGGUUUUGAAAGAGACUAGCAAUGUGGAAGAGACAAUACAUCUCUAAAGGAGGGAGGCUCACUUUGAUUUGGAGUACUUUGGCUAACUUGCCCAUUUAUUUCAUGUUUGAGCUUACUUUGCCUAGGACGGUCAAAUGGAGGUUGAAGCAAAUUCAAAGAGAUUUUUUGUGGGGAGGUGGGGCUCUUGAGCGGAAACCUCAUCUUGUAAGAUGGGCGCUUGUUUGCUUAGACAAAAGAAAAGGAGAUUUGGGGGUGAAGUGUCUUUCUUCUCUUAAUAAGGCACUUUUGUGAAAAUGGAGUUGGAGGUUUGCAAAUGAGAGAGGGGCCUUGUGGAAUCAAGUGAUUAGGGGAAAGUAUGGGAGGAACAAGGGGGUUGGUGCUCCAAGGAAGUGAGGGGUGGGUAUGGCGUGGGGUUGUGGAAAGCAAUUAGGAGGGAGUGGGAUGUUGUAAGUUGUAAACUCUCCUUUGUGGUGGGCAAUGGUUAGAGGGUGAGAUUUUGGAAGGAUAGAUGGUGUGGAGAUUCACCUUUUUGUGUUGCUUUUCCUACUUUGUUUGCUAUAGAUACGUUGAAGGACGCCGGGGUAAAAGAUGUGUGGAGUUUCAUUGAGGGAGGGGGGAGUUGGAGCCCGCAUUUUGCUAGACCCUUAAAUGAUUGGGAGAUGGAUGAGGCGGAUAGUUUUUUAUUGGGUCUUAAUGGGAAGAGUGUUUAGUGGGAUAUGUAAGAUAGAGUGCUUUGGAUAGAGACUAAAUGUGGGAAGUUCUCUGUUAAGUCUCUCUACAAAGCUCUAGAAUCUAACCCAUCGGCCUCUUUCCCAUCGAUUGUCAUUUGGAAUUCAUGUGUGCAGCCCAUGGGGAGGGGGGAGUUGGAGCCCGCAUUUCUUUAGACCCUUCAACGAUUGGGAGAUCGAUGAGGCGAAUAGUUUUUUGUUGGGUCUCAAUGGGAAGAGUGUUCAGUGGGAUGUGGAAGAUAGAGUGCUUUGGAUAGAGACUAAAUGUGGGAAGUUCUCUGUUAAAUCUCUCUCUACAAAGCCCUAGAAUCUAGCCCAUCAGCCUCUUCCCAUCGAUUGUCAUUUGGAAUUCAUGUGUGCAGCCCAAGUGAGUUUUUUUUGGGUGGGAAGCAACUUGGGGGAAGGCUCUUACUUUGGACCAGCUUCAGAAAAGAGGAUGGCCUCUAGCGAAUAGAUGCUACCUUUGCCAAAUGCAUGAGGAAUCGAUAGAUCACAUCCUCCUCCACUGUGCCAAGACAAGGACUAUUUGAGCGUUGUUUUUCACUGUCUUCGGGGUGCAGUGGCUGCUGCCAGCCUCUGUUAAAAUGACACUCUUGGGUUGGAACAGAUCUUUUGUGGGAGAAAAGAGAGAGGAAGUUUUGAGAGCAGACCUUUUAUGUAUUUUUUGGACUGUUUAGAAGGCAAGGAACAAAAUUUUGUUUGAAGAUGUUGUGCUAUCCAUUCAAAAACUUAAGAGUUCUUUUAUUUAUCUUCUUUGGUCGGAGACGAAAUUGUUCCUAAAAGAUGGUUCUUCGACUUUAGUUGGUUUCAUUGAUUGGAUAGGUUCUUGUCGAGGGUGGUCUUUUUUGGCCCCUCCGCUUUUGAAGGCUGUUUUUUGUCCCAGCCGGGGAGGGGGGUGCUCCUAUGCUGUAUCUUUUUGAGUCACUAUUUUAGCGUCUCUUUUCAAUACAAUUUCUUCUUUUUUACUUAUCAAAAAAAAAAUUUAUCAUAAACAGUUUAACUCAGUAUCUUAUUGUCAGUAACAGUGUAUAUGUUUCUGAGUUGACCAAAAUGUUUUUGUUGUUUACCUUGGGUCCUCUUCGUGUGUUUGAAUUCUUGCUUUGCUUAUUGAUGCACAUAUAUUUCGUUAUUUUUCUCCAGAGAAGUUAUUACCCAGUUUAAACAAUCUGUUUGUAAGGAACUCUCCAGAAGAGCCUUUACUCGAGAGGAACUGCCAACAGACACAUUUACUUCUGAAUUUAUUUAACAUUCAGUUUGCUUGUAGAAUGCAUAUGAAUAUCUAAGUUUCAUCUUGUAUUUCUUCAUUUUCUGAAUUCUGUUAAAACUUACCGGAAAUGUAUUUGAACAGGGUUCAUCUCAUUCUGGUCCAGUGCUCACUCCAGCUGAAGUUUUAAUUGCUAUCCAUGGGAUUGAUCCUGAUAGAGAUGGAAUUCCGCUGAAGAAGGCAUAUAUUCUUCCUUUCUUCCCAUCUUUUCCCCAAAGCUGACCAAGUAACACAGCUAACCAAUAUUAAUCUAUGGGCAGGUCACAGAUGCAUGCAAUACUUGUUUUGAGCAGCGGCAGAUAUUCACUCAACAGGUUCUUGCAAAGGUCUUGAAUCAAUUGGUUUGUAUCACUGGAAACUUAUAACUUUGUCAACAACACCUUUAACUACUACUUGAAUUCACAAAUGACCAAGAAUGUUCCCAUCAGGUUGAGCAGAUUCCUCUUCCCUUAUUAUUCAUGCGUACAGUACUACAAGCUAUAGGUGCUUUUCCUGCCCUGGUAAAAACUUUAAAACCUUCUACAUUAUGGCGCUUGGUAAUUGCAUGAUUUUAUUUAUAAAUGAUUUAUUUCAAUAUUACUGAUGCAUAUUGGUUGUUAGGUAAAUAAACAAAUAUUUUAGCAGCACAUACUGAAAGAAGAUUUCAGAUUUUAGACCUAUUAGCUUGAUCACUUGUCUCUAUAAGGUAAUAGCCAAAGUUCUAUCAGGGCGAUUAAGAGGAGUACUACACGAAACUAUCCACUCUACUCAAGGUGCUUUUGUUCAAGGGAGACAAAUUUUGGAUGCAGUUCUUAUAGCCAAUGAGAUAGUGGAUGAGAAAAGGUGAUCAGGGGAGGAAGGAGUUGUCUUCAAAAUUGACUUUGAAAAGGCUUAUGACCAUGUGAAUUGGGAUUUUUUGGAUCACAUGUUGGAGAAGAAGGGGUUUAGUCCUAAAUGGAGGAAUUGGAUGAGAGGUUGUUUGUCUUCGGUCUCUUAUGCUAUUUUAGUGAAUGGAAAUGACAAAGGGUGGGUCAAGGCAUCUAGAGGAUUAAGGCAAGGUGACCCUUUAUCCCCUUUUUUGUUCACUAUUGUCGCAGAUGUGUUGAGCAGAAUGAUGUUGAGAGCUGAGGAAAAAAGUAUGUUGAAGGGUUUCAAGGUAGGUAGAAAUAGAAUUAGGGUGUCCCAUUUGCAAUUCGUAGAUGAUACCAUCUUCUUUUCUAACUCUUAUGCGGAAGAGCUGCAAACUCUCAAGAGUUUAUUGUUAGUGUUUGUGCAAAUUUUUGGGCUUAAGGUCAAUCUUGACAAGAGUAAUCUUUUUGGCAUCAACCUUGAUCAUAAUCAUCUCUCUAGGUUAGCCUUGUUGCUUGAUUGCAAGGCUUCUGAUUGGCCUAUACUCUACCUGGGUCUUCUUUUGGGAGGGAAUCCAAUUGCUUGCGGAUUCUGGGAUCUAGUGAUUGAGAGAAUCUCAAGGAGAUUAGACGGGUGACAAAAAGGCUUACUUGUCUUUCGGUGGUAGGAUAACUCUUAUCCACUCUUGCCUUUCCCACAUUCCUAGCUAUUUUCUCUCUCUGUUUAAGAUUCCCGCUUCAGUGGUUGCAAAAAUUGAGAGAUUGCAAAGGGAUUUCCUUUGGUCAAGGGUUGGGGAAGGUAAGAGAGAUCAUCUUGUUAGUUGGGAUGCAGUGUGUAAGCCGAGGGUAAAAGGGGGUUUAGGGUUUGGGAAGAUUUCUUUAGGGAAUCUCGCUCUUUUAGGGAAGUGGUUGUGGAGGUAUCCUAGGGAGAGUACAACUUUGUGGCAUUAGGUCAUUCUAAGCAUUUAUGGGACACAUUCAAAUGGUUGGGAUGCCAACACUUUAGUCAGAUGGUCACAUCGUUGUCCUUGGAAGGCUAUUGCACAAGUAUACUCGGUUUGUGGUAGGAGAUGGGGAAAAAAUUUGCUUUUGGGAAGAUUUGUAGUGGGGGACUAGCCUUUGAAAUCCCAAUAUCCAAGACUAUUUAGAGUAGUCACGGAUAAAAAUAUUUCUAUAUCUUCAAUUCUCGGUUAUGUUCGCCUUUUCUCUUGGAACUUUAAUUUCCGUUGUAAUCUAUCCGAUUCCGAGAUCGAAGAUCUAGGCUGCCUCAUGCAAUCUCUUGAUUGUGCGCAUUUAUCCACUUCGGCUUCAGAUGCGAGAUCCUGGUCUUUAUCUUCUUCAGGAUUGUUUACAGUCAAGUCCUUCUUUAUAGCCUUGUCCGAAAUGCCCGAUUUAUCUCCACUUUUCUCUACUAAGUUUGUAUGGAAUUCUCAAAUCCCUUUCAAAGUCAAGUCCUUUGUCUGGUUAGUGGCACACAAGAAGGUAAAUACUAAUGACUUGCUACAAUUGAGAAGACCCUACAAAACUCUUAGUCCUGACAUUUGUAAGUUGUGCAUAAAGUAAGGAGAAUCAGCAGAUCAUCUUUUCCUACAUUGUUCUUCGUCAAUGGGGUUGUGACACAAAUUAUUUCAGUUAGCCAAGAUGGAUUGGGUUCCUCCGAGAAGCAUUUCAGACAUGAUGUCCAUCAAUUAUAAAGGUUUUGGCACUUCCAAGAGAGGGAUAGUUUUGUGGCAAAAUGCGUGCAUUACUUUAAUUUGGGUUGUGUGGCAGGAAAGAAAUGCUAAGAUAUUUGAGGAUAAAGUUAGGAAUUCAGAGAAUCUAUGGGAUUCCAUUCACUUCCUUGCUCCUCUUUGGGCUUUCUGUUCCGUGGUUUUUAAGGGCAUUCCCUUUAACGUGUUACAAAUAGAUUGGCUAGCAGUGUGUAGUUCCAAUGGGAUGGUCUAGCCAAAAGAGCUUGUUCGUAGUUUUCAUAGUGUAGUUUCUUGAUCUUUUAUUGUGUUAUUUAGUUUUAUCUUUGGUGGGAGGAUUCUUCAUCCUUCUUUUUCUAUCAUUAUAUAUAUUUGUUGUUUCCUAUCAAAAAAAAAAAAAAAAAUUAUUGUGGCUCCAUUGGAUUGACUAAUUUAUUGACAAGUGACUCCCAAUCUCUAAUAACUGUUCAAGUUUUUGAAUAAUGUUGUUUUAUUUAUUAAUGAUUUCCUAAUGGUUAAUUAAGUUUUUAUAUUAGUAUUUAUAUAAGGUUAAUUUCAUUGAUCUUUCCUAAGAUUUUGGCUAAAUAACAAAUGAGUUGGGUAGGGCCGUAUUUGAUGAAAUUUCAAACCAAUAAGAGCCAAACGUAUUUAAUCAAAACCUCAGGACAGGUGAGUGAAAUCAACCCCAUUUAUACAUAUACAUACAUAUGUAUGUAUGUAUGUCUAUUUAUAAUAUUUGUAACCAUAUUCCAAGUUGGUGCAUAUUUUAUACCUUAGAAUGUUAAUUCACGUAGCGCAUACUGGAAGAAAACUAUUCCAAGUUUCAUAAUUGUUUUAGGCUCCAUUACAAUAGAUAAUUUUUUGACUAGUGACUCUUGAUCUAUAGUAACCAUUCUAGUUUUUGGCUAAUAAAUUGUCAUAGUUAAUAAUGGUUUAUCAAGGUUUUAUACAAGUUUCCACACACCCACACACAUACAUAUGCGUAUCUGUUUAUAAUAUUUUAUCCAUAUUCAACAUUGUUGCAUAUCGUAAACCUUAGAAUGCUAAUUCACUAUUAAAAGGUCCUCCAAUUGUGGCAGUCUACUUGUAAGAGCUGAUUCUUAAAUAUAUGUUUCCACAAUCAUUCCAUACUAUUCUUUGGGUUUAAACUUUAAUUUUAGAUAGGUCUUUAAGAAUAUGUUUGGUUGGCUAGAUAGGAUCAGAUGAGAUAUACAUAUUAUGCCGUAUUUAUGUAAUGCUUAUAUAUAUACAUAGAUAGAUAUUGCAUACCAAUGUUUGCUAUUAAAAAAAUAUGAAAUUGAUCUCAUGUUUAGCAUUAUUUGAAAAUCAUUCUAUAAUCUAUAAUCUAUAAUUUAAUAAAUCAUUUCUUAUUUCUUUGUUAAUAGUAUUCAUGAUUAAAAUAUUUAAAAUUUAUAAAUAAAAAACUAUCACAUUAUGCUUUUAAAUACAUAGUAGCAAUUUGUAUAUAUACUAAAUAAUACUAUAUAUUAGCAUUAUUUUAGGUUGAGUUAUACACAUUUUUUUAAAUUAUACACAUUUUUUUAAUUCUUUUCUUUUUUGAGCUAAAAUUUUAUUUUUUUAAUCAAAAUUUCUUGUUUUGCAAAAUGAGCAACAUAAAAAAAAAAAAUUAAAUGAAGAAAAUUGAUAAAAGAAAUAAAUUUAUGAUCCAUUGGAUAUUUAUAUUCUAAUUCUCAACUUUGAAUUAUAAUAUCCCAUGUAGAGAUGAUAUAAAAAAGGUUAGAUACCUUAUCUCAUCCUUUAUCCCAUUAGCAUUAUUUUAGGUGGUACUCCUUAAGUACUAUCCAGGACAUCAACAAAAUCUACAAAAAGGGCAAUCCGUCUCUACUCAUUGUUCCAAUUUAAAUGUACUUCAUGCAUAUAUGUAAUUUUUUUUUCUAUUUAUUUUUCAAAGUGUAAAGGAAAAGACUUAAAAUACACAACAUGAAAUACAUGAAAAUGGGAAAACAAUACCUGAUAUGGUUUGCAAGUUGAUAACUAUGCCUUGACUCACCGAAACUGUUCCUUGUCUAAAAUCACGCUGAAUUUGGAAAGCCCUUAUACUUGCAGUCGAACCAAUGACCUUUAAUCCAACUUUGGUGAGCUGACUAGUAUUGUAUCAUUUCUACUAUAAAAUCCAGGGCCCUAACCCCAUCUCUAACAUCAUAGAACUGCCAAAACUACUAAUUGAAAAUUUACCUGCAGUUCCUACAUUUUAAUUAAAAAUUAUCUUCAUUUUUCUAAGAAGGGAAUUCACCAAGUUGUUCACAUUUCAUGCCUUUUGAUAUUGAAUUAAUUACUUACAGUUGACUGCUGCUUAAUAUGCUGUAGGUGGAAUUCAUAAUGGAGAUCCUCUCCCGUCUUGUAAGCAAGCAGGUAAACUAUAUAUGAUCCAUUAUGCUGUUUGCAGGUCAAUCAGUGGUUUAUGCUUAUUUAAUUAUUGAUUUUAUGAGCUGCACAGAUAUGGAAAUACCCAAAGUUAUGGGUAGGAUUCUUGAAGUGUGCACUCUUAACAAAGCCUCAGUCUUUCAGUGUGUUGCUGCAGGUGAAAUUCUGUUUGCUAUCAUAAUUUAUGAUUUCUUCUUCUCUUUGGAAAACUUUCAUUUAUGAAAUUUUGGAACAGACACCAACCAUUACUUAUUUUUCUCUGAUUUUUUGGCUAUCCUUUACACUGAAGAAUUAUCUGUUUUUGAACUUGUAUUGAUUUUUCAGCUACCUCCAGCGCAGCUAGAAAAUGCCCUCAAUAGAACAGCAGCACUUAAGGCACCCUUGGUUGCUCAUGCUAUCCAACCGAAUAUUCGGUCUUCACUUCCAAAGUUGGUGCAAAAAUCAGUGUUUGUUAUGGUUGAAAAGAUACUAUCAUUGACCUCUUGACCAAACAGCUUGCUCAUUUUUUAUUGGAUUGGAUGUCCUGUUUUAGGUCUGUAUUGGUAGUACUUGGAAUUACUCCUGAUUCUCAAACUUCAAGUCAGACUCAAACAACUCAGGCUCAAAUAGCUCCACCUCAGACUGGAGAUACAACCAACUUAGAUAAGGAGGUGGUAACAGAAAAAGCUAAAGAAUCAUCUAGUGCCAGCUGAAAUGACAAGUUAAAAAGAGUAUGUUUCUGUUUGUUAGUUAUCUUCCUCCAAACUCCUUUAUUGUCAGAUUUUUUUCUCUUUGUUCUUUUAAUGGGGACUGUUCUUAUUUGUUUUCCUUUUCAUCCUCUUCUUGCCCCAACCCCCUUGUUUCUCUUUUUGUUAGAUGAAUCUGCACUGUAGGUGGGACAUUUCUGGCCCCACCCCUCCAAUGUAAAUGGGUUACUGAGCUCCAAAAGCAAUGGCUUAUCUGUGGCAAACUUCAACUUCGAUGACCUGUUGGGAUGGAAGAGCCAAAGAAGGGAUGGAAUCUACUCGUUUUAUUGCGGUCUCCAUCUGGUGAUAAAAUAAUCUGAUUGCCAUGUAGUUGAAAACUGCCAACCCUUUCUUCACCAAAAAAUAUUUACUGCUUAGGAAAAGUUAGGACUAUGUAGCACUAUGAAAAAAAUGUAAAUUGUGAUUGUCUCAAGGGUUUUUGGGUUUUUCAUUUUUGCCUUUUUUGUUUUUUUUCUGGAGAAAUCACAUGAUGUUAAAAGAAAUGCUAAUAUAGUGUAUUUUUUGGAUGGGCCAUUGAUGGUCUUGGAAAGAACAGUUAUGGAAUAAAUGAGAAAUUGUAAGGGAGGUGGAACUUUCGGUGCAUGCACCCUUUUCCUUUAGUUUCCAAUCGCUUUUGAUGCAUUGGUUGCUGCUUGAUUUUGAUCCAACCCGUAGUCAACUGAAUACAAGUGUAAGACAUUGAAGUAUCCAUACCUGCAGUCUGAUUUCAGUGGUUAAAAAGUUAGCCAGCUUCCGUCUCAAUCUUUGAAGGUGGUGGUUUAUGUUGGUUGUCCGAGCAUCAGUAGCCAAGUGAACUGCUUUUAAGCUCACUCCCCCCAUCAGCGUGAUAAUCCCAACCAAGGUGACUUACUACCAACAGAGAGUUGCAUGUUUAAAUACUCUACCAUUCACUUUUUGGUUCAAGGCUUCAAGGCUCAUCUAUCUAUUUUUAUGUUUUGCAUUGCAUACCUUUCUUUCAAUGAAGAUGGUAUAUAACAUGAUUGACUGACUAAAAUGGUUACAUGAUAAAACCGCAUAAACCCUUUGUCAAUUGGCAGAAAAUAAUUAAUUGCAAAGACAAGUCCUUCAAUGCGUUACAAAUUCAUUAACAUCGAAUGGGGAAACCUAAUUACAAAAGAAUCAGAGUUAAACAAUUCUUGAUAAACUUGAUGUCUGGUUAUACCUCCCAUGGCUAUUGCUCUAAAUGGGAAUGCCAAGGAAAAUAUGAACUCAAUUUAUAGCACCUGCUUACAAGAAGAGACGAGAGGGGUGGUGCUGUGGUGCUCUGCUUCAUACAUGUCUCUGCUGAAGGUGCCAAAAGAAUAAUCAAGGCUCGGAUGGGCGUGACCUUAUCAUUUCAUAUUGUCAGAUUUGAAGCAGGAAUUCCAUGCAUUUGAAACCAAUCGGGCAUAUGGAAUCUCUCAUAAAGUACAGGCCUGACAUCCUUCUGCAGAGAGAGGUGCUUGAGGAGUGGCAGGAGGACCUCCAAAAGCUAUAAAAGCCAUGUGAUAUAACAAAAGCAAAUCAAAAUACAAUCUAAACAUUGUUAAGAGAUGCUUGGUAAUGUUUUCAAGAACAGUGGUCAGAAAACAGUUUUGAAUUGUUUAAGGAAUAAAAUUAUGUUUAGAAACUUAAAUAUGAAAAACCGUUUCUGGGUUUAUUCCUCAAUGCUGUAUACUUAUAUAUAAUUUAAAAGUUUCCAAAGGAUUUAUCUUCAAUUAUUGCUAAGAGCAUUCUACUAAAAAGUGAAAAACAAAAAACACAUCAAAUUGUCCUAAAACAUAGCCUGUGUGUCUUCAGAACAGAUUAUAAGAAAAUUGUUUUCGGUCAAAAGUUUAUCAAAUAUGUUUUUAUAAGUUAUAAAGCAGGUUUUUUUUUUCUUUAUUUAUUUAUUAUGAAGAACAGAAAUUAUACUGAGAACCUACCUGCUUAUCAUUAGGCUGUUCAGCGGAAAAUGGAACGCACGGUAUCCCAUUCAAUGGUUGCAGCAAGAAACUGAAUGGGUUGUUAUCAACAAUAACAAUUCGACGGAGAUCCUUUGAUAAACAAGAUAGAUCCUUCACGUGUUCCCGAUAUUUUCUGUGAUUUACCACGAAGUUAAAUAUUCUCUCAAUGAAACUCAAUCUUGGUGACCAAAACCGAUUCUGUAAAUGUGUAUAGCACUGAAUGGGGAAGUCAAAGUAUAUGUUAGGAGAACCAUUAUGCAUGUAGAGCAUAAUUAACUAAGAUGCUAAUGAUUCUUUUUCUUUGUUAAAGAAAAAAAAAAUGGAAAAAUAGUUCAGAAGAAUGAUGAUUUUUUCAAAUCUUCCCAACUCAUCAAACACUCUCAUAGACAUCCACAACUACAUAUGGAUUCUCUAAAAGACUAUAUUUGAUUGACGGGAUAUAAUAUAAUAUAUAUAUAUAUCCUACAAUUGGAUAAGAAAUACAAAUCCUAGGAUAUGAUUUUCAAUGGGAUUUGAUAUCCUUAGAUAUUGUAUCUAAUACACGUAAUAUAUCCAAUGAGAUUCAUUGUGCUAUGUUAUUUUUAUAUUUAAUGAGUGAAAUGAAUGAAAAAAAAAAUAGUAUAAAAUAUAUAUUAUUUUUCAAUAUUUAAAAUAAAAAUUAUAUUACAUUUCAACAUUUUCUAUUUAAAAAAAUGAAAAUUUUCUUACUUUUAAUAAUCUUCAUAAUUAAAUAUUUAAACUUUAUAAAUAAAAGUUUUUUAUAUUAUUUUAUUUAAUAUAUAUAUAUAUAUAGUGUGUAUUAAAUAAUACAAACAUUAAUAUUAUUUUAUAAUAUAUUUAUAAAUAUUCUUUUAGUUCUUUUUUAACCACAAUUUAAUUUUAUAAUAAAAAGUUUUUAUUUUGAAAAAUAAGUAAUAUAAAAAAAUAAUAAAUAAAUAAAUUUAUGAAACAUGGGAUAUGCAUAUUCUACAUCUUAAUAAAAGAUGAUAUAAAAAAAGUGGAUAUUAUAUCCCAACAUUUAUCCUAUCAUAUGUAAACAUAGGAUGAGUGAUGAAAUAAAUUAUAUAUAUAAUAUUCAUCCUUUUAUCUUAUCCUGUACCAUAUAAGUUAACCAAACAUUGCCUAAGAGUUUCAUAAGGGGAAGAAGAGGGGGACAAUAUAAGGUGAAAAGCACAAGACAGUUGUUCUUGAUAGUAUUUUUGAUGUGGAAUAAGAUGAUCAUGAUACUCAUGAACACUAAUGGCUUCACAUUGUACUUUCUGGAGGAAGUCAAGGGAACAAGUAGGAGGAAAGCUUGGGCACAUGAGCAUAAGUAUUGGACUACCUAUGGCCUAGAACUUGUGAAUAUAAACAAUAAUAGGCCAUCCUACAUGCUGCAGUAUAACAAAGGGAAAAAUAUGUUUCCUGGUUUCUGUUUGAUGUGACUGCCACUGCUAACUGCUCACAAGGUUAACUACCAAAAAGAGACAGGAGUGCAUUUUCGUUCUCAUACAUCUAGCCAUUGAACAGAAAAAAAAACGGAAGUAUCAAUCAAAUCAUGACAGUUCAGUAAUCACUCAAAAAAAUUGUAGGCUUAAUGCAAACUCCAGUAGUAGCUAAUGGGGCAUCAAAGUGCAAUUGGAAAUUCAAUAGGAGAGUACUCACUCAACAAAGUCAAUAGCCCAAUUUCUUGAAGUGAGCAACAUGAACUGUUUUUAGCUAUAUUGGGAGCUAUGCCCUCAAUUAAAUCUUUAGAGACCCACAUUUCUUUUUGGUCUUCCUCCUGUCCAUUUUAGCCUAUCCAGUGGAACAAGAGAUUAAUUGUGACUCCUAAGAAAUGGAAACAACCCACAAUACUUUGUUACAGUUACAUGGGAAGCAGUUCAUCCUACUGGUUUUCCAGCCUAUUGAGAGUUGUAUCAUUAAAAACAAAUUUUAAUCGUUUCCAUGUCACUUUCUUACCGUGGACCCAUAACUGAAACUAACUUGUAAUCCAGUUUUUUUAGUAGGUGAAUCAUGAAUAUGAUAAGUGCAGGUCCAACACUACCUAGAUCAUCAAUCUCAUUUUUUCCUACCUGCAUUAAGUCCUGCAGUAUCUCUCUGUUUUUCUUUCCCCUUUUUGGUUCUAGAGGACUAACUAAUAUUUGCUUGAGUGCAAAAUUCUAGCCCCACUCCAGUCCUUGGACUCCUGCAUCUUAUAGUUCCCACCGUUUGUCUCACAUGGUGUCAUACUUAGGUUUCCCAUCAAUUCAAACCAUAAAGCAUAAUUAGUCUGGCUCUAUCAAAGUCCAUAAAACAUAAUUAGUCUGGCUCUAUCAAAGUUCUUAAUAAAUUGACCCAUGAUACAUAACCAGUCUAACUGUUCAAAGAUCUUUCCUAUUGUAUGAUUAGAAUGUGUCACACAGCAGAUAUCAUUUUGAAGGCAUCUCUCUGCAUCAGUCACCUAGGUCUAUUUCUAUGGAAGCAUUCUCUUCUGAUCCUUGCCCCUAGCAAACAUAACAACUAAAAAAGUUGACAUUUUGAUUGUUUUCUGAACUUCUUUUGCACAUGCACAAUAGAAUUCAUGAAUGUGAAGGCCCAUGCCUUUGCAAGAGAAUUGGAAUAAGGAGCCCCACGCCUUUAUAAGAGAGGUUUUGGAAAAUGAGGCAAUCCUUGCCUGCACUACAUCAAAUUGAUACCAACCAAAAAGUAAAGAUGCUCUGAAAAUUGACUAAUGUGGUUUGUUGUACUCCAGAGUCCAAUUUGUAUGAAGCAUAUUGGUUCAAUAUCCCACCCUCAGCCCAAGUGACUUGGAAUCAGAUUCUAAUAACAACCAAAUAAGUAAAUAAUAAUAUAGAAGCACCUAAAAAGAGAGGAAAAAAUCUCAAGAACAACCUUUCAAACAUGAUUGUUCAAACUCAAACAGAAGAGUACAUUUCACAGUAAGCCAAGACCAUGGAUCAGAAUCAAAUCUUAUCUGGAACCUGAUAAACAAGUUUUCAAACACGAGCAUUCAAAUGCAGACAGUAAAUUUCAUCUCACAUUUUAGCGAAUCAACCACUAAGGCUUGUCCAGAUAAUUUUUUCACAUUUUAGGAUCACCAGUCCCAAAGAGGACAGAAUCUUUCUUUUGUUUUUUUAUCUGUGCUUGUGCUUCUGAUUUCCUUGGGCUCCAUGCCUCAGAUUUUUGUAACGCUUGGUGCAUUUGUCUACUCUUCAUAGGACAUUUUGGUACUUCUACAUUUCGCUUGUUUUUCUCUUUUUUUUUUUUCUUUUUCAGUAAGAAGUUUUACUAAUAACUACUAUCUCAGAUAUUUACAACCAAUUGAACCAUUUAUAAACAAAUAUGACCCUAUUUGACAACUCUACUAAGAUGUAUAUGUCUUUUCUAUUAAAGGAAUUACAGUAAGAAGCAAUAAUGUCAGCAGGUGAAUUCAUCUUUCCACAUACAUUAAUAUCUUUCCAUUACCUAAGGUUUGUAGCACCUCAAACUAUUCUCUUAAAUACUCUACUGAACACCAAAGAGCUCUAGCACUUUCAAGCUAUCCUUACCAUUGGAUGAAUCACUGGCAACAGUACCUUCUUUAGACUCUUUGAAUCUGCCACUCCCAAGCAAAUAGAAUAGCAUCAGGUUCACAUGACAAGCUUCCUUUUUCAUUUGCUAACAAUAUUCACUUUUAUCCAUCCCUAAUAGUUUCCUUCUUAAGUUACAGUAAUAGUAACUAAUAAAAAAUGGAUUUUUAUACUUGGUGUAUAUUAUUAGAUACCCUUUGUGUUUACUUAUUAGGGGGCAGUUCAUCUUGUUGUUUCAGGGGACAAUGGUUGUACUUAAAGUAAAGCGGCACCAACAAUCUUUCAUUUUCUUAUUCUUUCCUUUCCAUUUUUGAAACACCCCUUGCAAAAAUAGAACAAAAACUUUCAUCCUUCACCCAGUUAGUUCUUCCUCUGGCAUCUCUACUUCUUUCUUCUGUUCAAUUGUCUUUUUAUUUUAUCUUCUCAUUUUUAUUUGUUCUACACCCUUAUUUACCAGCAAGGUAACAUUUUUCUUUCUGUUAGAUCACAAUCCCAAGUUUUCCUUUCAGUUAAAACCUGACGGUUGGUUGCAAAAAAAAUCAGCAAAUCAGCAAAUACUUUCUCACAGAGCACGUGCAAAAAUAAAAAAUUAAAAACAAUAAAGAAACAUGUAUUUGAGCACAACAUUAUUUAUAUAGCUUAGUGCAUAUAACAAUAUAUUAAACAAAAGGUCCUGCACAUGUUUGACCAAAUUAAUCUAUAAUGCUACUGCAUAAGAUUGGGGUAUUAAAUAUCCAACAUUAUCUUCCUUUACAAUCCAAAGUUUUUUCACCAUUUUUUGUUCAGCCAAUUUGCAUGAUAUUUGAAUAAAUAGAGGAUCAUUAUAAGAAAUUGAUUUCGUAAUUCUUGCCCAAAUUCCACCAUUGAAUUCUUUUACCUCACUUUAUUUGACAGUAAUGAAAUCUUGCUAUUUCUGAAUAGGAAUCAUUCAGAUCUGUGCUGUUUGGUCCGGCUAUGCAUCAACUAUGCAUUAGUUGAUACAUAAUAGCAUCAACAACACAAGCAACAUGAAAUGUAAGACAUCAAUUUAUCAUUGUCAAAUUAAGAUGACUCAUCAAAGAGUCUUAGAAAAGAAAAACUCUUUUGUCAAACUACCAUAUGAACCUACCAAUGAUAACACCUCCUGGUUGAUACACCUCAGUAUCACUGAUAGAUAGUCUUUACCAUGUUGAACCAUGCUUACCACAUUUCAAAUGUCACUCAUACAAUUGAAGCAGUUUUCGGACUAGAACUCUCUUGCAUAGCACAUUUGUUUGCCCUAGUAUCCUCAUUAGAAAAUAAAUUUUCACAAAUAAAAUAAAAUGUAUUCAGAUCUUAUCCAACAGGUAAUUAUUGUUGAAUAGAAGCAACACUUACGUGCUAACUGUUGAAGGCCGAUAAAGCCGUUUACUAAAUCUGUUUCCCGCAUCAAUUUUGUCAACAAGAGGUCUAGCAUAACCUGCUUGGUAUGCAAAAGCAUAAAUCAUACAAUAAAAUAAAGCAAUCAAGCAAAGGUCUGGAAAUAGAGAAAUAACAUGAAAACCUUCAAGAGCAGCAGUGAAAAGAACAAGUUCUGCAAAUUCACUGAUCUGUUCUAAGAAUUCUUGUAAACCAGGUCGUUCAAACACUGUUACGUAACUGAUAUUUGGUUUUCCUUCACAUUCCUGCAACCCAACAAGUAACGUUAAUCAUUCAGCAAGAAACAAGUUAAGAAAGCAGGGGAGGGGGAGGUAGGGAGGGAGGGAUGGGAAGAGAGAGAGAGACCUUGUCUGAAGAUACACAUUCCAACUCAAACCACUUCAGUCCAGCUUCUAUUGCCUGGGUGCGUAAAUGGGCAGGCAAGCUAGAGGUUUCAUAUGCACAUACCAGAGUCUCAUCCAAGUCAAGAACAACCUGCAUGCCAAAAACCAUAUUAACCCUGUUAACUUGGAUAGAGAAUUAGCUUGUCCUAUACAGCCAACAAGAUACAUCUUGCAGCAAACAUAUGUUUGAGCAUUGAUUACCCUAUACAUAAAUCUGGAACUUUUUUUAUUGACAAAUGAAAUUCAUCAAAAGAUACCAAAGGAUUGUAACAGAGUACAUAAAUAGUAUAAAGAUUGCACCUAAAGGAUGGGAAAAAGAAAAAUACAAGUAUAUAAAAGAAAAGCAUUAAGUGAUCACUAUGAUCUACAUAAAGUAAAAGAUAAAAAAAUAGAAAACAAAAAGGUAUGAGCAAACCACUAGAAUCCCAUGGCACCCAAAAAAAGAGCAACCUCCACAACACCUUCUACUUCUUCAAAAUAUGAGCUCCUUACCAUCAAAUGUGUGCCAAUUCUCCCCUACUAAACAUACUAUGGAAAGAAUGACAUUAGGAAAGCCAUGGCUAUAUAAUUUUUUAAUUGAGGAGAAAAUUAGGCAAUCUCAUAAUCAAAGGGAUCUGAUAUAAUUGGGUUAGGAAAGUUUUUAUUUUUUGUGUUAGGAAUUUUUGUAUGUAUAUGGGUCUUUGUAUGGACUUAAUAUCAAGGAAGAAUUUUAUACCUUUGAUUCCUCCCCAUCCCUCUUCUUCUACAUGGUAUAAGAGCAUCAAACUCUUAAAUUUGGGAAGAAAAGGAUUUUUUUUUUCAACCUUCAUUGCCGAGUUGAAGAUCAUAGUCGACCUUCAUUGUCGACCUUAAGGUUUCCUUCUCGUCUGAGUUGCACCAUUGCUGCAAACACAACCUCGUACUAAUGCUGCAAACCCAUAUCACAAACUUGACAAUCGGAGACCUCAGCCAUCGUCCUCAUGCUAUUGUCCUCACACCAACAUCCUUGUGAACUCAUCACGAAAUUGAGAUCGUGCCUCCGGCUUCACACCAAUACAAAUCUUCCUUCUCACAAGCCCCACGCUCCUUGCAGUCAGAUUCGGUAGUGCUCUUGCAAGCCCUAGCUGCCUCGACUUUGCUCGUCUUCUUUGACAUCGUUAAUCUCUCUCUCAAGUUUUCUGAGCCUCUACCAGCAACGGCAAUCCUCCUUGUGUUGUCAAAAACAACAGAGGAUCAUGUCAUCCAACAAUUCUCUACGACUUCCCUUCAUCGCCAACAAAAUCACGAGCUUUGAAGUCUUUAACCACCACAAACUAUCGCCGACAGCUAAGUUCCCACACUCUGCAUGUUUUUUGUUGGCCUAAGUAUUUAAGCCUUUAAUCUUAGCCCCUUUUAUAGUUUUUUUUUAAUAACAAUAAAAAAAAUGUCAAAGGUAUUAGAAACUACCAUUGUUACUACUCAAUCUAAAGGAGUGAUAAUCAGUUAGAAUGCAAGAGAAUUGCAAAAUAUCAAGCGGCAUACAGGCUUGAUGGCAAAAAUUACUUAAAAUUGUCACAACUUGUUCAUACGUUUCUUAAGGGAAAAGGGAAACUCAGUCAUCUUCUGGAAUUGGACCAAGGAGAGGAGACCCUCAAUUUGAUGUCUAGGAUGAGAAAGACUCAAUAAUUAUGACAUGGUUGUGGAACUCAAUGACACCUAAAAUCAAUGAUACAUGUAUGUUCCUGACAAUUGCUAAAGACAUUUGGGAUGUUGUUCACUAGAGAUACUCAAAGGCACUAGAUGCAGCCCAAGUGUACAAAAUAAAAGUUAAGAUCGGAGCGGUGAAACAAGGAAACAAGACAAUCAUAGAGUAUGCCAAUAUGUUAAAAAAACCUAUGCCAAGAAGUUGAUCACUAUCAACGUAUUGAGACAAAAUGUCCUUAGGAUGCAACAAUCAGGAAGAAUUAUAUUGAAAAGAAUUGAGUAUAUGAUUUCUUACUUGGCCUCAAUUCUGAGUUUGACCAAGUUAGAGUUUAAAUACUUUGCAAAGAGUUCUCGACUUUGAAUGAGACUAUCCCCAUUCUCCGAGCAGAAGAGAGCAAGAAAAGUGUCCUAUUUGAACCUCAAAACUUGGAAGGCUCAGCUAUAGUUGCUAACAAGGGCAGUGAUCAAAAGGCUAGCACUGCCAAUAACAAAAGGACUAAUCAGUCAAGGGCUCCAAAUCAUGAUAAUAGGUAUAGCCUAUGGUGCACUUUACUACCAGAAGGCUAGACAUAUACGAGGGAAAUGUUGGAAACUUCAUAGUAAGCAAUCCAGCAAAGAGUGGGGUUACAAUGGAGAGCAGUAUAGGGAUAAUGGACAAACACACUUGUCUUUUGUUCAACCGGUUGAAGAAAGAUCCCUAGAACAAGGCGGAUUCAAUCAAGAAGAGAUUGAAAAUUUGAGAACUUUGUUAGGAACUCUUGAGAAAGCUUCAAGCACUUGCUCACUCACACUUUCAAGUAAGUUUCCUAUAUCCAUUAGAUUAAAAGUCUCAGAUGAAACCUUUGCUAAUUCAUAGGUUAUAGAUUCAGAUGCUACAAAUCACAUGACUCAUUCAUAACACCAAUUUAAUAAUUAUAAACCUUGUCCAAGCAGUAGGAAAAUAGUCACAACAAAUAGUUCAUUAACCAUUGUCGCAAGUGUAGGAGACAUCCAAAUGAGCCCUACACUUACACUUAGAAAUGAGUUUUAUGUUUCAAAGUUGUCUACCUCCCACUCCAAAAUCUCCUCCAUGAAUGCAUAGACUGCUUCCAACUUCCAGUCCUAAAAAUCAUGGAAAGAGAGAAAUAGGAGAGCUGAAAAUUCUGAAAUGUUGGACCAAACAAUGAAACAAUCCUUUAUUUACAUGUUUUGGAAUGGGUUAGGGUGCAUUUAGUAGUUAGCUCAUUGUCAUUAUUUGAUUUUAUAGUUUGGUUGAGUUCUAAGUGAGGCAUGGAAGUUGUUUUUUGUGUAUCCCUUUUCUUUUUAGCCUUCAGCACCUUGUAUGCAUCGUGUAUACUUUUGUGUAGACUCUUGUGUGCCCUUUGGAAGGCACUUUUAAUAUAAUUGUUUUUACCUGUCAAAAGAAAAACAAAAAAAAAAAAAACCUUCCAGUCCUGGAAGUCCCUCAAAAACCAUGGUUUUCAGCUUCUUUUACUCCUUGUCAUCAGUCCAUCAAAAGUAGCUUUGCCUACGGAGUUUCUGUAUCUUCAAGGAUGCUAAAUAAUCUGGAUAGCUCAGGUUAAGCACCUGAUCUCCACAUCAAACAUCCCUCCAAAAUACACCAUGUCUGCGCCAACCUCAAUCACCACAAACUUGAAAAUCUAUCCACAUUCAACUGAGUUACAAUCACAACUCACCCCAUGGGAAUUCUCACCUGUCUCAAGCACAGACCUUUUCCCCUAUUUCCCAGCCACCAUCCAUCUCCAUAAGCUUUCCCUUACAACAGUUGCUUUGACAAAUAUUUUUCAGAAAGCAUUUUGGAGUCCUGAAGUCAGAAGCAAAAUUUUGCAAGAUUCAUGGGUAAGAAUAUAUCUUCUUCAUAAACCAACCCAUGGUGUAUAUGGUAUUGUAAUAAAAGUCAUUCAUCACCAUUAUCAAAUAAUUUUAGCUAAUAAUUUAACCUUCUUCUCAUGGCACUGUCUCUCUUUUUCUCUUUUUCUUCCAAUUUAGGAAACUUCAUAUUCAUUGUAAUCCUUCUAGAACAUCCCGGUUGUCUCAUUGUCUAGCUCCAUUAGAGCUAGAAUAUCCAGAGAGAGUAAUGAAGUGUAUAAUUUUCCAUCUAAUUUAUUACAAAUCCACACACUAAAAACAUAUAUCCACAAUACAAAGUGCUCUAUACUGAUUAAGCAAUACUUUUAUCACAUCAACACCUAAUCUUUAAAGUAAAUAUCAUCCGAACUCGACAAUUUCAACAAGUAGCAAUCACAAAACAGCCAAAAUUAGGUUUACCUGAAAACCAAAUCAUAUUCCACAGAAACGAACAAAAUCACAAAUCACGCAACUAAACGAAAAAAGAGAACUCACCGUCAGCUUCUCCAGGGGACGAUCAUCACCACCGUCAUCAUCGCCGCCAACGCCACCACCGAAAGGACUAUGUUCAACGACUCUAACGGGCAGCGGCGAAGAAAGAGGAGCAGAGGGCGGCUCUGGCGAGGAGUCGUGCAGCGAAAGCUCGACCACAGGCAAGGGCCUGAAGGAGGAAGCGGAGGAGGGGAGAAGAGGGUGGCGAAGGCCGAUGUAGGAGAGGAGCUGAGGCAGAGAUGGGGUACCUCUGAAGAUCUGGAGGAAGAUUUGGAGGAAGAAUCCGAGCCAAUUCACCACUGCUCUCCACACUUGCAGAGGCCUAGGCACGUACACUUGUGUGGGAGCCAUGCUCUCCACGAUCCACGAUCGAUGAUCGAUGCUUCUGGAAAUGGGAAGGGAGCGAUUCUGGUGUACCCCGAGGAGGAGGAGGAAGAAGGUUCUGGUGCUCUACGUGAGCAUGCUGGCGUUGAGGUGGCACAAUCUUAUUGGAGGACAGCUGCUUCUCGCUUGACCAAACCCCCCUCUCACGCACUGUCACUCUCCAUUGCAAAAUUUCAUUAAUAUAAGUUGUCUUAAGGUUUUCUUUUUUCUUUUCUUUUUGGGGAUUUUGAAUAUAUUUACUUAUUAGAAACAAAAUUACAAAAAGGGGAAAUUAUUCUUCUGAGUUCAAAUUUACAUAUGUAUUUAUUUUCAUUUUUUAUAGUUAUCCAAAAUUUUCUACUUUAUACUUAUUUUACUUUUAGUUUUGUUAAUCACUAUUAAAAAAUUCAAAGUUAUUGUAAUAAUUCAUAAACAAUUUUAAAUUAAUUAAAAUAAUAUAUAAAAUGACAAAUUUAAAAUCUAAUAUUAAUUAAUAAAGAAUAUUUAUAUAUAGAUAAAUCAACUAUAUUAUAUUAAUAAAUAACAUAUUGUAAUAUAUUAUAAUAAUAUAAGAUCAUCUUUUACGUUUUUUCAAAAUUAUUUAUAUUUUUUAUAAUUAAGUGACUAACUUAGUUUUUAUGCUAAACAUUUAGUUUAAUACUAUUUCAUUUAAAGAAUUUAAAUCAAAAUUAUUAUUAUACUUUUAGAGAUAUAGAAUAUCAAUAAUUUAAGUUUUAAAAAUUAAUUUCAAUUUUUAAUUUUUAAUAAAUAACAAUGAUUUGUAUUACAUUUCCUCGUAUUGUAAAAUUAAUUUUUAAUAUUUAUUAAUAAUGUUUUUCAUUUCAUAUUGUACACCCUCCAUUUUGUCCCUUAACACAUAUAUUUCCAUUUUUAUCUUUUUCUCUUAUCUUGUGAUCUGUUUUAGGGCAUUCCUAAGAUCCUUUUUGCUUGAUCAUUCAUCACGUUCCUUUGUUAGUCUAUGGUUAUUCAACUCAUUUUCAAAUUUGAGCCUUAUUUUAGAGACCAUUAGAGAGUAAUUUUUCAAGCCUUAACUUGGAUAUUUGGGGGUUUCUACAAAAGCACAUCAUUUUUUAAAAAUAUUUAUUAAAAUAUCCUUUUCUCCAAACUAUUUCUAAAACUACAACAAUUUACUCUGAGUGGGAUUCCAUGUAAAUUUCAUUUGUUGAAAAGACGAGUUUAGUGUAAAAUGAGAACUCAUCUUUUCAAUAGACAAGUUCAGUGUAAAAUUUAGAACUUGGCUAUUAAAAAAAUAAGUUUGAUGUAAAAUAGAAACUCAUAUUUUCAAUAGACGAGUUCAGUGUAAAAUUCAGAACUCGUCUCUUAAACAGACAAGUUUAAUGUAAAAUCAUAACUUAUCUUUUCAACAAAUAAGUUCAGUGUAAAAUGAGAACUUGUCUUCUCAACAGAAGAGUUAAAUGUAAAAUUCAAAACUUGUAUGUUGAAAAUGAGUUCAGUGUAAGUUAAGGAGAAUGUGGCCUUCAUAUGGUUCAUAUUAUUAUACAGUUAAGUGAGCCAAAAUUUAUACAGUUUAAUUUGUUUCUGAAUCUUAGUUGAAGUCCAAUCCAAAUUGAAUAUGAAUUGAAAAUACUUAACUCGAAUUCAAUCCAAAUAUUAAAAUUGAUUCAAUUUAACAACAAAAGCGUAUGGAUUGAAAUGGAAUAUAAAAGAGAAGUAGAAAUGAGCUCCAAUAAAACAAGAUCAAUUUAGUAAUGGAUUUGAAUUACCCUAUGCCAAAGGAAUGCUCAUGGUUAUAGUCAAAUACAAUUUUUCAUUUAAAUUGGUUCUUUUGACUUAUGGGUUAAAAGGACUUGGAUUGAAAUGAAACAAAAAGGAGAGGAAUGAAUGUGUUCCAAAAUUAUCAUAAUGGGUUUUCAACUCAAAUAAAAUCAAUUUUAAAUAAAAUUGGAGGUAGGUUGUUUUAAAGAUUGUUCAUGAUUUUAAUCUAGAUAGGUUGAUAGUAGGCUUUUUACAUGUCAAUAAAAAUGAAAGAUCAACCUCACAAUUUCAAAAUAUAACCCAAACUCAAAGAGAGUAAGAACAUGUUUUUGUUGUUAUUAACAUCGGGGAUUUAUACAGUGUAAUAGAUAAGAAAUGAAAAAAAUAAAGAUUUUGAAAUGCAUGUUAGACAAGAGACAUUUCAAAUUUUCAACACUUUCUAAAUCUUGAAAGCAUUGCAUCACAAAUUUAACAUUUUCUUCAACAUUAAUAAAAUUGUUGAGAAUCGGAUUUUGUUGCAUAACUUAUUCAAGUGAACAGUAAAAGAUAACUUGUGAUUAGGCAUAAACUACUAAUCACAUAAAGGGAAACAAACCUAUUACAAGAUCUGCCUUGUAUUUUCCAUGAAACCAUGUAUAAUUAAAGAAACUGCGUAUACAACAAGAAGCAGAGUAAAGGAAUGGAGUCCUAGAAUAUGCUUAUGCUAUCAUCUAUUAGAUUAUCUGAAACCCCAUGGUUGAUCCCCUGUUUACAAUAUUUAAAUAAAACCAUUCUUUCAUACCACACACACACACACAGAUAUAUAUAUAUAUAGAUAUAUAUAUAUAUAUAUAUAUAUAUAUCAUUUUCUUGAACAAAAGUUAUACAUAAUAGAGACUUUAACAAAAAAGUUAAGCAUUAAAUAAUCCAUAUUCCUAGCUAGCUUCCAAAAUUUUCUAGAUUGUUUCACCAUGAUCAGAGCUCUUUGCUUUCCCAAGAUCAAUGACAAUAUGCUUAUGCUAUCAUCUAUUAGAUUAUCUGAAACCCCAUGGUUGAUCCCUUGUUUACAAUAUUUAAAUAAAACCAUUCUUUCAUACCACACACACACACACACAGAUAUAUAUAUAGAUAUAUAUAUAUAUCAUUUUCUUGAACAAAAGUUAUACAUAAUAGAGACUUUAACAAAAAAGUUAAGCAUUAAAUAAUCCAUAUUCCUAGCUAGCUUCCAAAAUUUUCUAGAUUGUUUCACCAUGAUCAGAGCUCUUUGCUUUCCCAAGAUUAAUGACAAUAUGCUUAUGCUAUCAUCUAUUAGAUUAUCUGAAACCCCAUGGUUGAUCCCCUGUUUACAAUAUUUAAAUAAAACCAUUCUUUCAUACCACACACACACACACACAGAUAUAUAUAUAUAUAGAUAUAUAUAUAUAUCAUUUUCUUGAACAAAAGUUAUACAUAAUAGAGACUUUAACAAAAAAGUUAAGCAUUAAAUAAUCCAUAUUCCUAGCUAGCUUCCAAAAUUUUCUAGAUUGUUUCACCAUGAUCAGAGCUCUUUGCUUUCCCAAGAUCAAUGACAACAAUAUUUUUUUGCAAGCAAGAACAAUGAGCUUCCCAAGUCUUUAUCCUAGUGGAAAAAUAGAAUUUUUAGGCAAUGAUUGAGCAUUAUCAACUAUAUUUAUAUGAGAUAGUUUGGAAGAUAGUUUAUUAUUAUCAACCAACCACAAGUUUUAUAAUUUAUGUAACACUUGAAAAAACAAUGAUAUAUAUUCCCUUUUCACAACUUUAUGCUUCACUAUUUUCUUAUGAUACCAAAGAGAAAAAUGAAAUUAUAUUCCCUAUCCAAACCUUAUACUUUUACCAAGUCCUCAAGCUAGAUGUUAAUAGAAGAAAAAUAAAGUAUAUAUUCCCUUUCAAAACCUUUGACUUCUACUAAGUCCUUCAGCUAAAUGUUAGCAAAAAGAAACAACCAAGGAAUUUGAGUUCAUGUGUUAGCUAACAUUGGGAAUCAUUCAUGACCUGAAAAUGCUAGAAACGAAAAAACAUUUAGAAUAAUAGACAAAGUUAAGGACUAGGAUGCAACUUCAGAGAAUUGGGCACAAAAUGUAUAAGUCAUCUACAUGCAUUUUUCCAACCAUGGAUUUGAAGCUUUUGUUUCCAUUAAAAACAAUGAAAACCCAAUCUAUCAACCCUCCUCCCCUACUUCAAUGUCAAUACCAAUUAUCAGAAGAUGGGAUGUAGAACCAUCUUAAAGCAAUGUUGAGGGAACACAACAUAAGAAUUCCAUGUCAGUAUCACCAAUAAUCUAAUACACACUAACUCUACAAUAGCUCCCAAUGAAAAUAUAAGUCAAAUGAUACACAAUCAAUAGGAACAUGAGGCUAGAACAUGAUUUAAUCCCAAUUGGAAUCAAUUGGAAUUUGCACAUAUGAAAAUGGCUAAGAUUAAUUUUCAUGUGUAAAAUUUUUGUAGUCUCGUUGGUUCAAGUUAAUUCUUUAUAUGUAGUAUUUAUAAAUUGAUAUUGGCCAAUGCCAAGCCUCUUAUUUCACCAUGUAGGUUAAUGAAAUGUAAGGGAAAAAGAAUGAAAUAACUAAGAACUUAAAGAUAUAGUCUUCAGUGAGAUAAAUUACCAAGGCAAGAACUAAACAGUUAUAUCAAUAGUUAUGAAAUUUGAUACUCUACCAAAUAAUCUCCAUAAAGGGAUGCUCAUGCUAUUAGCAAUUACAUCAAUCAAUGUCAUCUCAACUCCCGCUGUAACCUUCAGUAGCAAAUACAUUUUUAUGAGAGCUACAAAAAACAUUAGAAUUUUAUUGAUAAGAGGAUGUGAAGAUGCCCUAAUACGAAACAUCAAUAUACUAAACAAGAAAUGAAUACAUAAGUUAUAUCAAAUUCUAUUUUUGUGUUUAUAUUUCUUUGUUACAACUAAGAAGAGUGAUAUAUCUAUUGAAUGUAAAAUUGUAAACACAAAACAAACAGGUAUUUAUUUCUAUGAACCACAAAUGUUCUUCAACAGCAACAAGAAGUAGGAUUUUAGUGGAAAAAUAAAUAAAAAUAAGGAUAUUAAAUAAAAAAGCCACAAAAGAUAUACUGAUAGUAAGUAAAAAUUGUUGUUUAACCCAAAAAAAUAGUAGCAUAAGCAAAUUUUUAAUUCUAGUUACUGUCUUAUCAAGUAUAAACAACACUAAGGUAUUAUGUGUUUAAUAUCCCAAAGCUUUAUAACACUAAACUAUGUAACAGGUUUUAGCAAUUGUUGGAGUUAUUUUUAAUUAGUUCUCUUCUUGAUGUGUUCCUUGUUAUAGUUAAAUUUUUUUUUCUCUUUUUAUAAAAAUAUAUUACAGAAUGAACAAGAAAUGUAUAUUAGUAAACCUAAGAAGAAUUCCAUUUCAAAUGACACAAACAUAACCUCAAACAAGAAAUGUAUCUCAACAUAUCAUAAGCCAUAAGAAGCCUUAGAUAGGCUCUAAUUACUAUUAUUAAUAGGAACAUAAAACAAACAUUUCCAACAAAGCAUUAUAGAAAACACUUACAACCUACCUAAAGGAAAAAGAGUGUACUGACCAUAAGAAGCAAAUGAUGUUUUCUCAGGGCAAGUACUCUUUAGACAACAACUAGCGGAGAUGUAAUCAACCUCCUAUGAUACCCUAUAAACAUAGAAUGACAUUAGCAACUACCAUCUCAAUAAGGAAAUGGACUAUGACAAAACCAUCAAUUAACCAAAGAAAUAGUCUACUUACUGUCAAUAGAUAAACAAAAGAGAACUUGACAAAACCUUGAGCAUCCUAAAAAAAAAAAAAAACUUAACACAGGACUGCUAUGUACACCUAACAUAUUUACUAUGCACCAUAUCUUAAUUACAAUACAAUCAUCAAUUGGAGGGAUCAAGUGCUAUAUGGAGGGUUCUCCUCUUACAUCUUGGAUAUCUCUAGUAAGUCACAUUAAAAGCAUGGACAUUAGAGGUAAUAUAGACAUCAAAAGAAACAUUAGAAGUAGCUUGAACCUCGGAAGCAAACAAAACCUUAAAAGCAACUGGAACCUCAAAAACAAUCAAAACAUCAGAAGCAACUGGAACACCAAAGCAAUUGGAACAUCAGUAGCACUUAGAACAUCAUAAAUGACAUCGGUAUCCUCUACAUCAUCUAUCGGGUCUGUUAUGACACCAUCAAGAGGAAAAUCAAUAACAUGAGAAACUAGUCCAUCAUGCUCUAUAUGUGCACUCCCUUAUUUUUGACAUCGCACUCAACCUUGGCCUCUGUGAGGUGCUAUUGGAGCUAGAACAUAUGAGGAUGAUAUCAUGACCGAUGUUGAUUGUUGAUGAUAUGUUGUUAGGAUGAUAUAAGGCUGAAGAACUGUCUAUCAUGAUGUGGAUGGUCGAUCCUUUAUAAGAAUCUUCUUCUUGAUAAUAGGUGUUACAAAAGUCUAACAGGGUUGAUGUUAUUCCAUAACAUGUCCUCUACACCUCCCUCUCUUGCUUCAUUUCCUAUCUUAUCAUGAAAAUAAAUGUGAGACCAUGGUAAAUGGAGCAAUAUGUAAUCGACUCAUCUCAUCCACUGCUUGUAAUGUCAUAUAAGAUAAUGAAUGUAUAUCUUCCUUUGUUAUUGGUGGAGUAUUUGGCCUUAACAACUAAUUUAUUUGUUCAAAGCUAUUAGCCUACAUGUCUAAAGUAGAUGUUAGUUACAAUUGAAAGGAAACCAAAAGAGAAUGAAUGACAAAGUAAUAUUCUUGAAAUUACCAUAAUAUCAUGGAAAAAUCCAUGCUUAGUGAUAAAUCGAUGUGUGAUUAAAUGAUACCAAUGCAUAUUAAGGGUUGUAAUAUGAAAUAUCUCUAGAUACUAACUCAUUACUAAGUACAUGAUCACAAUGAUGGCUUCAUCUCUCUAUAUAUACUCUUUAUACUCAACCCUUCAAUCAAGAUCAUGUCAACCUCGUAAGAAAAUGUUAUGUAGUUUAAUGCUAGUAUCACAUGACUCCAGUAUAUGCCAACUCAUACCUAAUUGGCAUAGAACCUAAUCUGGCCUAUGCCACUCAACAUUAUGAAAACAAAUAACUUGUGAUAUAGUAUCCAAAUGUCAUCACCAACAAUACAGUAGUUUGACAAUGUAGAUAUGAUAUCAAACGUGUAAGGUUGCCAUAUAAUGUGACUUGGCCUCUAUAUAUCAAAAGUAAAUCUAUACUUGCUAAAGACAUGCAUGGAUACUUUGUGAUAGAUAAAACGUCUCUCCACCUAAGAUAAAGUAAUAACAUGUUAGUUGAGAUCAAAUGUAAGUUAAGUUCUUAAUGAAUUUUUACAAGAAAAUAUCAAUUGUUGUAUAUAUCAUAUACCCAAUGGAGGUGGUGGGAAUGGAAGGCCAUCAUUACCAAUGAUAUCAUGUGGAAAUGCUUCCAAUCUUUGAGGGCCAAUACAUGGAAAUCUCUCACAUACCCAUAGUUGUAAUAAUAUAAGUGGGUCAACUAUAUAACAUGCUUGAACAUGGGAUACUCAACACAUCUCUCUAUAGAGCCAAGCUAAGCAAGAACUACCCCAACUAUACCCACCAACAACCCUAAAAUCUAAAAAAAAUGAAAGAAACAUAAGUACACAAAACAACCAAACUUGUCUGCAAAUAAACAUUCUCCAAUAAGUUGUAAGAUAUAUGCUCUGGCAUAACACUAAACAACAUCAUCAACAUCAAAGGGUAGAAUGGGAAAUUUCAUUGCUAACCAUGUCAUAUUAAGUCGUGAUCCGUCUAAGUCAUACUCCUCAAGUAUGUGUCCUAACAAAGACUCACAUAUCUUAGGCCUCUGUUGCAAUGUCAAACUAGCAAGAGGAGGCCCAUCAAUUGGUAGUCCGAGUAUAAUGGUGACAUCUUGUAUAAUAAUUGCCAUAUCUCCAUGUGGCAUGUGGCAUGUAUGCAUCUUAGGACACCAUCUCUUAACCAAGGUAGUUAUUAAGUGCUAGUCUAAUGUAACAAACCCAAGUUGUGUUAUGCCAUAGAAGCUUACUUUUUGCAAAUAUGGAAUAAUCCUUCAAUCUAGUGACAUUGUACAAUGAAAUAUAGCCUCAUGUUGUGUGCAAUGAAAAAUUUGUGUCUUAGCUACCUUUAUAUCCCAUAAAAUGUGCGAUUAAUGUACAUGUUGUGAAAACAACAUUGAUGAAUCAUAAGAUUGGGGAUCCAUGAGACCUGUAAAACAAGGUUUCUUAUUAGAUGUUUUGUGAUAUUUUAAAAAUUCAUACAUCAUUAAGAGUUUACAUUGGUAAGAGUUCAUACAUCACCAUAGUUCAUACAUCAAUUAAAGUCAAUACAUCAUGAAAAGUUCAUACAUCAUUAAGAGUUACAUUGGUAAGAGUUCAUGAAUUACAAAAAGUUCAUACAUCACCAAAAGUUCAUACAUCAUUACAUAUUUCAAAAGUCAUUCAGUAUGGAUGUUAGAGGAUUGUCAUUGAUCUUUGUUAGGACACUUGUAUCGAUUAUGACUUGCUUGCAAGCUCCAUACUCGAUCCUUGUACUAGGUUCUCUCCAAUCCAUCUUAUUUCGUAUGCAUGAUAAUCUAGGUUGCCCUUGUUCUCCUAACAUUGUUAGAUCACGAUCCAAAAUUGGGAAUUUUGGUUAAGGCCAAUAAUCUUCAUGUGAUAUUAAACUAAAUUCUAAGGCAUAACAAGCUAUGUAUUUUUCCAUCCUAUAAUAGGAAUCCACGAAUUGCAUAAGCACGAACAACUAGGACAUGAGAACAAGGCAACCCAAAUGAUUGUCAUUUGUUAUAAGUACAAGUACCUUUCUUAAGCUUCACAAUUUGCUUAUUGUUGCCUUUAUCAAUAUGAAACCCAUGAACAAUAGUGGUUACCUCAACGACCUCAUUUGCUUGAUGAAAUACUGUAACACUAUGCUCACUUGCCUUAACCUCCCAAAUGCUGAUCUUAUUCUUGGCAUAAGAAGUAUACAUUUCACCUUUUCUAAGUUUGCAUUUUGUUGCUACUAUAUGCCUUUCAAAGUAAGCAACACAUUUAUAGAAAGUUAGUUGCACCAAUGUACUAAUAGGCAACAUACAAGCUCUCUUAAACACCCCAUUAAUACUCUCUCUAUUAUUUGUCGUCAUACAUCCAUAUUGAAAUCCCUUAUCAUAUGCUUGUGUUAAUUUCUUUUUCUCUACUUUAUCAAAGAAUUCACACACUUCGCAUUCAUAUUUUGGAGUUCUUCCAUACACAACUGAAACUUGCGAGGUUGAUGUUGGGAUCCAACCUUAUACACUAAGUCUUUCAAGACUUUGUUUCUAUACAUCUCAUUGAAAUUACUUGCCACAUGUCUUAGACAAUAUUUAUGAUGAGCACAGGCUGGAGUCUAUCCAACUUUGACAUUCUAUAAUGUUGCCUUGAUUCCUACAUGACUAUUAAAAAUUAAGCAUAUCCGAUAUUUUUUAGUAACAUGAAACCUUAUUGCAAAAAGGAACCAAGACCAACUAUUUGUUUUUUCCUCCUUAACAAGUGCAAAGGCAAGAGGGAAGAAGUGUUCAUUAGCAUUAAUUGAAGUUGCAAUCAAUAGCUUCCUUAUACAUUUUCCAUAUAAGAAAGUAUCAUCAAUUUGAAUGAUUGAUCUACAAUGCUUUAAUUCUUACCUUGUCAUUAAAGUUUCCCAAGGAAGUUGUUUUUCAAAAAACUUUUGUACCAAGAUUAGUUGCUUGAAGAACAUUCAUCCAAUUAGGUAGAAGAUAGUAAGAUGCAUCCCAAUCACCAAACACUACCAUAAUUGUUUUUCUUUUUGCUUCCCAAACUCUUCUAUAAUGAACUUUAUAGCCAUAUUUAUCUUUUAUUAUCUUAUGCAAUGUUGGUACUAGCUUAAAUGGAUCAUUCCUUAUAACAUUUUGUUUAUCCCUAGCUAUCAAGGGGGACCCCAAUUGAGAGUGGUCUUGUGAGAACUUAGGUUAUACAUAAAUGUGAGACUUUCUUAUUCUCAAACUGUAAGCCCUUAUACAAUACAUCAUGGUCAUUCCACAUUCCACUACAUGGUUCUAAGUUCUCCUGAGGCAUGACAUUUUCACAUCCUAAUUCAACCCAGUCAAUAUCAAGGAAGAGAUGACAUUUUCAUGAUAAAGGUGUGUAAACUUAUUUCCCAGAUUUUCCAUUCGAUCAACAUCAUGGUUUUUAGGGGCCUUAUAAACAUAUCUUUCACUCAUGACCAUGUCAUACACCACAUUGGAAUCUGUCUUCAUUACAGGCUCUUCAUCAUCUUCACUCGUUUCAAGCACAUCAUCAAGAUCCACCCUCUUUUGCGACAGGAUGGGUGGUAUAUCAAUUGACAAUUCAAUUGUGCAAUCAACAUUCUCCAUCUAUACUGAUAGGAUCUCUACAUACAACUCAACAAUAUGAGAUGAAGAGAACUUUGUUACUACAUUAAACAUUAAACUCACGUCAUCAUCGUCAUUUAUGGGUAGUGUUACAAAGUUGAAAUUACCAUUUCUAAGAUAAAGUGGAUAAUGAUAAACCAACUUCAACUUUACUUGAGAUGAGUCUUUGCUCAACGCCUAACUUAAACAUGCAAUUAAGUCAUUGAAUGUUGUGUUGCUAAUACACACAACCUUUGAUGAGGGAGAAUUGUAGCAAAUCCAAUUAGGUGCUUUGAUUAUAGUACCAUUAAUGUAGCAUAACAUCAUAAUUGAACUUUCCCCCAUUGUUGAUCCUAAAGUUUAGAAAAAAUACAAGACUUUGGUAAUCUUGAAUGAAUAAAGGAAAAUUCUACAUAUGAAAAAAAAAAAAAAAAAGAUAAUUAUAACUCUUCUACACAUACUUGCUGAACUUGAAAAAGCAUCUUCCCAAGUACUCUACAUUCCACCAACAAAUUAUUAAGACACAUAGUUGUUCAACUUGAAAAUUUCCCCUUUGUCAAUUUUUUUAUUUAGAAAGUGAAAAGAUAAAGAUAACAAAAAUUAAUUCUUUAGCAUCAACUUUAUCCUAAAAAUAGCCCAUUUUACUAUACCAAAGUUUGAGUUACAAUUUACAAAAUUAAAUACAUUUAUCAUAUUUUUAAAUAAUGUAAAUAGAAAUGUUUCUUAGAAACUUGCACAAUUUCAAGAAACAAGAGAAAAGAACCACUUAACAUAUGAAGUUAUUAGAAAAAGAAUGUGAUAGAAAGCAAAAGUGAAGAGAAAAUCCAUGGUGUAAUGUAACAAGAUUCAGAGAAUGAAGAGUAAGAUGAGCAGAUAACCUAAUUGAAUGAGGAAAAAAAAAAAGGAUAACUUGACAAUUCCUCCUUAAUAGCCCACAAUCAUAGAAAUCGGGUUAAUCGAGUGGAUGAGAUUAGGGUGAAGAAAAGAGAAUAGGGUUUUCAGAAAAUAAGAAAAUGGAAUGAUGAAAAUGGGUUUUUUUAAAAAAUGGAAUAGAGAUUUUCUAAAACUUGAUGGUGCUUACAUGGAACCUAUGUAGUAAAAUUUGUCGUAUUUCUAUCAAUAUUUUUCAAUGUCAUAAACACUAAAACAAAAAAACAUCCACAAACCUUUCAAAACCUCAUUAUCACAAAAUACCAAAUCAAAUUUUAAAAAUGGAAGAGUUAUCCUUUAUGAAAAUCUUCCUCAAUAAAUUUUUGAAAAACGUGUGUUUUGUGUUCAUGAGUAUAAUAGGAAAACUGAUGGACUAUUUGAAUUGAAACAAAUAAGAAAAGUAAUGCCUUUAUCAUUAAUGAAAUCUGAAAAUGGUAUUUGUCACACGGUUUGGUGUUGCUCCAUAGAAAUGACUACCUUGGUUUUAUAGGCCAAAUUAGUUCACAUUGCAAACCAUUUACCAUUCGUAAACCUUUUUUUUUUUUUUUUUUUUGUUUAGUCAUUCCUGUAAAUUUCACCAUUACCCUCCAACCAAAUUUGCAAAGAACUCAUCCAUUUUUACCCAAAUAAUAAAUAAAAAAAUGAACUUUAUUAAAUUGAAUUCUUCAUUUGAGUCAAAAUCCCCAAACUUUCAAAUUUUGUUGUAUAAAUUCUAAUCCAAAUUCAAUGAAAUUUAAAUCAAUGAUUCUACAAUUCAUCUAACUUAUUCAAGUUUCCAAAAUUUGUAUAAUAAUGAUGUGAAUUCAACUUUAAAUGUAAAAGCUUGAUAAGCCGACUAUAAAAUAAUCAAUCAAACCAAAACCAGCAAACCCACUUCUAGAACAAAAAACAAAAUUUCAACUCAAUAAAUUGGCCAAUCCUAACUUUCAUCUUCAAACCAAAAUUUCUCCUUCCAAAACAUGUCUACACAAAAACCUAAUUGAGCUAGAAUCAUCCAAAAUAUUUUCUACUUCACAUUCUUUAGAUUUCAUCAUGAUAAUGUGAAGGCAAUUAUUUUGUUAAUUUUCAACACUCAAUACCAAACUUCAAGAAAUUCAAUAGAAUGAAAAGAAAUUUAAAAUUUGAAGAAACCUUAGAACUAAACCAUCACGAAUACUCAACAUUCAAUGAAUUAAAGAAACAUAAGGGUUUUAAUGGAAAAAAAAAAUUAUAAAGGUGACUAAGCAUGGAGGCAGGACUAACCUUCACCAAGUUUUUACUUAACAAUGGAUGAGAUUGUUUUGUCACCCCACUCUCAUUUGCACAAUUCUAAAACCAUCCACCUAUAUAUUAAGAAAAACCCUAAAUCACAAAGGUUGAAAUAUAAACCAUGCUUAAAACCUUAAAUUUGAAAAUUUUCAAAGAUAAAUACAAAUCUAGUUAGAAAAGAUGAAGAGAAAUUCAAAAACAAUUUUUUCAAGAUUACUUUCUCGACAAUCAGCAAUGCUGAAAAAUUUUAGGAAGAUUGACGGUGGAUUGUUGGGAAUGAAGGUGACUUGGGUUUCUUUUUUUUGGAGAACAAAGCGAACGAGUGUGCUAGAAAAAUGAGAUUUUCAAAAAAAUGGAAUAGGACUUUUAGAAUUUGAUGGUGCUUAUGUGGUGUCCAUGUGACACCUAUGUGGCAAAAUCUACAAUAUUUCUAUCAAUACUUUUGAAAGUGCAUUUUUAAAAUAAAAAAAAAAUAUUAUAUUUUAAUUAAAAAAAUAAAUAUUAUAUUUUAAUUAAAAAUAUAUAUGGCUAUUUAAGACCACUUAGGUAGGUCUAAGCCCCAAUUGAGUUUGUUUGGAUGCCUUAGGCUUAGUUUUUUACGAAAAUGAUCGAUCGAUAUAGGUGUAGUCCCAAAACUCAAACUUAACUGAUACAAAAUGACAAAUCAAUAUAUGUGCGGUCCCCAACUCAAACUCAAAUUGAUACAAAAAUAACCAAUUGAUAUAGGUGCGGUUACAAAACUCAAACUCAAAUUAUAUGAAAAUGAUUGAUCGAAAUAAGUGUGAUCCUAAACCUAAACUCAAACUAAUACGAGAAUGGCCAAUUGAUAUAGGUGCGUCUCAAAACUCAAAUUCAAUUUAUAUGAAAAUUAUUAAUCAAUAUAGGUGUGAUCCUAAACCUAAACUCAAACUGAUAAGAAAAUGGUCAAUUGAUAUAGGUGCGGUUCAAAAACUCCAACUCUAUUGAUACAAAAAUGAUCGAUCAAUAUAGCUAUUGUCCCAAACUCAAACUCACAAUGAUACAAAAAUGAUAGAUUGAUAUAGGUGUAAUCCCAAAACUCAAACUCAAACUCAAACUAAUAUGAAAAAUAACCGAUCGAUAUAGGUGCAGUCCUAAAACUCAAAAUCAAACUAUAUGAAAAUGAUUGAUCAAUAUAGGUUAGUCUCAAACCCAAACCCAAACUGAUACAAAAAUGACCUAUCGAUAUAGGUGUAGUCCCAAAACUCAAACUCAACUAAUACAAAAAUGACCGAUCAAUAUAUGUGUAGUCCCAAACUCCAACUCAAUUUGAUACAAAAAUGAUUGAUCGAUAUAGUUCUAAUGUCACACCCCAAAACCCACUAUAAGGGCAUGACGGUCAUUUCACACCUUAAGCCUAAAUGCUCAAAGUGGAAACGACACAAACAUUCAUCUUGUAACUGGAAAUUACCAAUUACCAAAUUCCUAUUCAGAGUAACAAAAUAAAUAAAUUCUAUAAUCCCUAAUUCUCAAUUUUAAAAACUAACACAUCAACCAAAAUAUUAUUGUCCAAAUAACUUCAAACUUAAAUAGUUCAAAUGGGAAUUAAAUUUUAAUAUCUAAACAAAGUCCAAAAUAAAAUUGCACCAAAAUCCACACAAAGAAAAAAUUCCCUAGUCUAGCCAUCAUUUCUCGCCCGAACUAAGAGUACUUGAAAAAUUAUCAACAAAUGGGCAUGAGCUUAAAACUCAAUAAAGAACAUCAAUACAUUUUCACUGAUCAAAUAUUUUCAAUUAUAAUUACAAAUAGGAAAUAUAAUAUAUAUAUAUAUAUUCAUUUUCAUAAAAACUUUUGAGUUAAAGAUACUAAUACAUUCAAAAAUUUUCAACUAAACAUUCUCAUAUCCAUUUCAAAACAAUUUCACAUCAAAACCAAAUCAAAUACAUUCAAAAUAUAUUUACUCUAGUUAUCGAAUAACAAAAGGUGCCCAAUUAGGUAGGACUUCACAAAUGAGUGACUAGUUUCAAUUUUGUUUCAUUUAAAGUGAACAAAACUAAAGGUCAAUAAUUAUAAAUCAUUGACUAGGUCCAUAAGGUCAACUACUAUAACCCGUUGACUAGGACCAUAUAAUAUCAACUAUUAUAACUCAUUGACUAAGAUCGAAAAUGUCAUCAAUUAUAACCCAUUGACUAGGGCCAUAGAAACCAGAAUCAAACACUUUAUUUUAUUAAUUCAAACUUACAAAAAAAAAAAAAAUCAUAUUACCACAAUUUUCAUUUUUCAUAAACAAAUAAAUUGCUCAAAUAUGUUUUCCAGAAAAAACAUAUAUUUGAUCCAUGCAUAAAAAUAAAAAUAAUAUUUUUGCACAUUUCAAAAUACAAAGGAAAAUAAUAUAAAUGAAAUUAUUUAUUUUACAAAAUUUGCAUUGAUUUCCCAUACCUUAAAUAAACACUCAAAAACCUUAGAAAAUCAAUCCCGAGGAAUUACCUCUUCACCUAACAUAAAUAAAUAAAUAAAUAAUCAUCUAUUAUUAUUAACUAUUUAUCUAAAAUUAUAGGUUAAAAAAUCCUAAUAAUUUCCUAUGUUAUGUCACCUAUAUUAUUUUUAACUUCUUAAUUAAUAACAAUUUGAUUCGUGAGUUUCUAAAUUCUUAUAAAGUUGGUUUCUUUCCAAAAUUUAUUCCCAAGAUUCUAUUAAUUUAUUAUUAUUAAUUUUUUAAAUAAAUCUCUCAAAAAUAUGUUUUUUCUAUUUAUUGCAUUAAACUAUUAUUAUUACUAACAUUUCAUUUAUUAUCUUAAAACUAAAUAUUAUUAUUUUUAUUAAUUUUCAUUUUCAAUGCAAAACCAACCCAUUACCAUCUUAUCUUCACAUUCUCUUACCUUUUUUAUUAUUAUUAAUACUACUUUCCUUCAAAAACUAUACAUAAAUUACUUUUUUUUUCUAUGCAAGCAGUACACAAUUUGGCUUUUGUUUAUUAUUAAUACUAUUUACUUCCUUUCCUAGGUCAACGUUGUGGACCCUCCCUCGAUCCACCGGCUGGUGUGACUCGUGAUUUAAAGUAAUAAUGUGUGUUUGGAGAAAAAAUGGUUUUCGAGUUUUGGAAAACUCGUCCCUGAUGAGGGAGGGUUUUUGUUUGGAGUCGCCACUUACUUUUUAUUUUUAUUUUUGAAAUGGGGAAAAAUAAGUAAGAACAAAAUCCCUUCAAUGACUCCAAUUAGGAAAAAAAGGCCUGCGAAACUAGAUUUUUGGGUCCGGGGAUCAAGUUACCUACUAGAAAGGUACCUCAUGUGAGCUAACAUCCCUCUAGGCCCAAGAUCCGGUCUCUACUAGCGAAUUGGGUACAUUGGAGCGUAUGGGUUGAAGAUCAGUCAAUUUCCCCCCAAACUAUAUGGAUGAUAAGAUUCGUGCAAUUCUAGUUAGUAUUCGACAUGCUUAGGGAAUCUACAAUCAGAAUAAUGAUGCAUACCUAAGGUCCCCAGCCAUGCGCUGCAGAAAUGGGUUAGUCAAUAAGUACAAGCGUACAACAUAUGCAACCCCCAAAUUUACUAAAAUUUAGUCGCAUUCCUACUCGAAUUGAUAGAAUUUUCAGUCAUGACCGGACCCUAUACAUGUAACCUCUAAUCUUCACCAAACGACCAUCAAAAUGGAAACUUAAAAAAUUAAAUUUGGAAUUUUGAGAAUUUUGAAAAUGUUGGGAAUGGAAAAAUAAAUCCAGAGUUUUCGAAAUUUUGGAAACUUUGGAAAUGAAAACUUAAAAAAUUAAAUCCUGAAUUUUGGGGAUUUUGGAAAUUUUGGAAACUUAAAAAAUUAAAUUUGGUGGGCUUUGAGAAUGGAUUGGGAAGAUGGCCAUGCAUGGCUACAUAGGAGUUAUAGGAGGGCCAUAUGGUGGCCAUGAGUGAACCGUGGGCUGCUUGAGAGCUAGAGAAUGGUCAUAUGGUAGCCAUGGGUGAACCGUGGGCUGCUUGUGGUUUGGGUUUUGCGGAAAAUGAAUAGUAGAUGAGAUAGAGCGAGAAGUGGGUUUGGUGGGUAUGGAAGAUGAAAACAUGGGCAUGGUGGUGUGGAUGGGCUGUGAGGUUACAUAGGCUGCAUGGUGAUGGUAUGGAUGAGCUGUGAGGUUGCAUGGGUUGCAUGGGGGAGCUAUAGGUGAGUCGUGGGUGAUCCGUGGAAGUCAUGAGCUUUGUGGUGGGUUGUGGGUGUGUGGGGGCUGCAUGGUGGUAAGGUGUGGGUGAUCAUGUGGUUGCACGGGUGAGGUGUGAGGGAAUCCUUGAGCUACAUAUGGGCAAUGGAGAGGCUUUGAGAUGGGAAGAGUGCAUGGGUGGUGUGCAUGCUGUGUGUAGGCUGUUUGCUGGCUAUGUGCGGGUUGUGCACGACCUAUGCAUCAAUCAACUCACUAUGGAGAUUUAAUAAUCAAAUCUGUGUCAAUCAAGCUUCCCUACUCCUUGUUACUACUCUUCGUGAUGCUUCUGAAGAAUUUUUGCAUCAAAACCACCGAGAGGAGUUGUUUCCCUCAUCCAAACUAGAUUUCCCUUUUGAGAGUAAAUUGAACCCGUGUCUCAUGAUGUUGGAUCACAGUGAAUGACUGGCACCACUUUUUUUAAGCUCCCUUUCCCACUUUUCCAAAAUAGCAGCAGGACAUACAACUAAAUAGGAACCAAGGUCAUUGUUCAUGUAGGUCAGGUAAUAACAAAUACCAGCAUCCAUGCUUGAACCAUACCCAUAACCAAGGCAUUGUACUCAGAAGAAACACAUGGUGGUUAGCCACCUGAUGCACACCAUUGAGAGACACCAAAACCAUAGGAAAACAACAAGAAAAUAACAACCAAAAAAACAAAGUCUAAACACAAGUCACUAAACCAUCAAAUGAAGUUUCACCUCAUAAAGUAUCAAUGAGCUUACAAGCCAAGGGAGGUAGAAACCAUGGGUUCAGAUAGGAACAAGAAUGUGGUUUUGAGUUCAUGGAUAGUAAAACAAUGCUUUCUAGCAAAAAAAAAAAAAAAAAAAACAAAAGGGAACAGAUAUAAAACCAUAAUAGUAAGUCCACAAUCACCCCAGAAAAUCAACAAAGUUCGAACAUACAAAAAAUCCACACUCAAACCAAACAAAUACAACCUAGAAUGCAAAAAAAGUAGAGGAAGAACAGUGUGAUUGACCUGAGAAUCCUCCUCUAGAGCAAAGAGUUAUUUGGUUUCACGCACUUCCCAUCUUCUCUUGGCUGCAAAACUCCAAAGUGAUUUCCGCUUCUCUCAUUUUCCCCUCGGCUUCCUUCUUUUUUUCUUUUUUGCCUCUUUCUCCGCACCAACUCUCCCUAUUUCUUGCUUUCUUUUCCUCUACCAAUUUCCUUGUUUUCUCCUUUCUUUCAGACCUUACUUUCUAAAACAUCCUUUUUUUAUUUGUUUUCUGAUUCUUUUUUCUCCCCCUUUCCAAUUCUUCUUUCAUUUUUUUUCAAAAAAAAAAAAACAUCUCUUCACAUGCAUUCUGCCGAUUUCCCAAGUAUCAUUUUUUCACCCUUAAUUUUUCCAAAAAAAAAAAAAAACCAUUUUUCUCCCCAUGCAGUCCACCGACUCUCCUUUUCUUUUUUGCUUUUUUUUUUUUUUUUAAAAGGAAUAAAAAUAAAAUCGAAUAAAAAGAAUACAAUAAUAUAAAAUAAAAAUUAAAUGAAAUAAUAAAAACAUAAUAUAAAUAAUAAUAAUAAUAAUAAUAAUAAUAAUAACAACAAAGAUAAUGAUAAAAAUAAUAAUAAUAAUUAUAAUAAUAAGAUAAGAUCAGUAAUCACAUGCAAUUUUCUAAAAAUAAAAACAAAUGAAUAACCAAACAAACAAUAUCAGAAUAAAUAACUAAAUAACUAACUAAAUAAAUAAAAUAGAUAAAUAAAUGAAUAAGAUCAAGCACAUGCAAAUCAUGUAAAAAAAACUUGAAGGGCGACCUAAGUGGGCCUAGUGAGUCUAAAUGAGCCUUGUGAGUGUCCAAAAGGUGCUUGAGUGGCAUUUGGUGAUUGGAAAUGUGCUUAGGUGACCUAGGAGUGUACUUGAUGGGCUAGGUGCAUCUAAAUGAGCCUAGGGUACCAAAGUGAGCCUAAGAUGGUGCCCAAUGAGUUACUAAGGAAUUAUUGUAAAGUAUCAAAUGGACACGUAAUAGGACAUGUGCUAGUAGGACAAAAUGGAGGGUCUACAAACAUGCAAGUCAUUCUUUGGCCUUUUUUUUUUUUAACAUACCUAUUCUUUCCUACCUACACAUAAUUUUCAUCCAUGUUUUUCUUUCUUUAUUUUUUUUUCUCCUCUCAAAAGUCAAAACUCUUAACCUCUAUACUCACAAAUUUUAUGUAUUUUUCACAUAUGAAACUAUAUAUAUAUAUAUAUAUUUAAUCUACAUCUAUUCACUUGAAUAAUCAAAAUUUGUCAAUCUUCAUUAAUAAAUCAAUAUGCAUUUAUAAAUUUUCAAUCUUUUGAUCUAAAAAAAUUAAAUAAACAAACCCUAAUUUAAAUUGAAAUCUUUUAAAGAAUUUUUAAACGGGUCAAAAUUAAUGAACAAAUUUAAAAAUAAUAAUCUAAGGGUUAAAAUCUUACCUAUAGACUCUGGACUUCAAACCUUAGACUUCCCAACCUUUAGCCCUAUACUCUCUAAUCUAUGUGUAAAAGGGGUUUUUGAAUAGAGAAAAAUAAGGAAAAUCUAAUUUAUACCUAGGGCUUUUAAAAGCGAGAAGAUUUUUCUACCCUUAUUAAAUUUAUUUAAUUAAUUAAUUUUUUUCUAAAUUAUGGUUUUACCCCUAAAUUGGGUUUAGGGUAUUAUAUGCAAUCCCAAAACUAAGCUCAAAUUAUACAAAAAUGACUUAUCCAUAUAAGUGCAAUCCUAAACCUAAAAUCAAAAUGAUACGAAAAUAAUCAAUUGAUAUAGGUGCGAUAACCAAAACUCAAACUCAAUUGAUACAAAAAUGACUUAUCAAUAUAGGUGUUGUCCCAAACUCAAACUCAAACUAAUAGCAAAAUGAUCAAUUAAUAUAGGUGUAAUACCAAAACUCAAACUCAAAUUGAUACAAAAAAUAAAUAAAUAAACUGAUCAAUAUAGGUACAAUCCCAAAACUUAAUCUCAAACCAUACGAAAUUGGUUGAUCAAUAUAAGUACAGUCUUAAACCCAAACUCAAACUGAUAUGAAAAUGAUCGAUUGAUAUAGGUGCAGUCUCAAAACUCAAACUCAACUGAUACAAAAAUGAUUGAUCAAUAUAUGUGCGGUCCCAAACUCAAAUUGAUAUAAAAAGGACUGAUCAAUAUAAGUGCAAUCCCAAAACUCAANNNNNNNNNNNNNNNNNNNNNNNNNNNNNNNNNNNNNNNNNNNNNNNNNNNNNNNNNNNNNNNNNNNNNNNNNNNNNNNNNNNNNNNNNNNNNNNNNNNNUCCGAUCAAUAUAGGUACAGUCUCAAACCAAAACUCACACUAAUAUGAAAAUUACCUAACGAUAUAGAUGUAGUCCCAAAACUCAAGUGCAAUUGAUACAAAACUGAUCGAUCGAUAUAUGUGCGGUCCAAAAAUCAAACUCAAAUUAAUAGAAAAAUGAAUGAUCAAUAAAAAUGUUGUCCCAAAAGUCAAACUCAAACUAUACGAAAAUGACUGAUCGAUGUAAGACGAUCCUAAACCCAAACUCAAAUUGAUAUGAAAAUGGCCAAUUGAUAUAGGUGCGGUCCGAAAACUCGAACUCAAUUAAUACGAAAAUAACUUAUUAAUAUAAAUGUGGUCCUAAAGUCAAACUCAAACUGUUACAAAAAUGAUCGAUCGAUAUAGCUAUAGUCCCAAAACUUAAAAUUAAAAUAAUACAAAGAAUAAUCGAUCGAUAUAGGUGCGGUCCUAAAACUCAAAUUCAAAUUAUAAAAAAAAUGAUCGAUCAAUAUAAGUACAGUCUCAAACCUAAACUCAAACUAAUACAAAAAUGACUGAUGAUAUAGAUGCAAUCCCAAAACUCAAACUAAACUAAUAUAAAAAUGACUAAUCAAUAUAUGUAUGGUCCCAAACUCAAAUAAAUACAAAAAUGACCGAUCAAUAUAUGUGUAAUCCCAAAACUCAAACUCAAAUUAUACGAAAAUGACCAAUUGAUAUAGGUGUGGUCCCAAAACUCAAACUCAAUUAAUACGAAAAUGACCGAUCGAUAUAAGUGUGCUCCCAAGCUCAAACUCAAAUUGAUACAAAAAUGAUUGAUCGAUAUAGCUAUAGUCCCAAAACUUAAACUCAAACUGAUACGAAAAAUUAUCAAUUGAUAUAGGUACAGUCUCAAAACUCAAACUCAAAUAAUACAAAAAUGAUUGAUCAAUAUGUUUACAGUCUCAAACCCAAACUCAAAUUGAUACAAAAAUGACAGAUCGAUACAGGUGCAGUACCAAAACUCAAACUCAAUUGAUAUAAAAUUGCUAAUUAAUAUUUGUGCGGUCCCAAACUCAAACUCAAAUUGAUACAAAAAUGAUUGAUCAAUAUAGGUGCAGUCUUAAAAACUCAAACUCAAACUAUAUGAAAAUGACUUAUCAAUAUAAGUGCGGUUCUAAACCCAAAUUCAAACUGAUACGAAAAUAGUCAAUUGAUAUAGGUGCGGUCCCAAAACUCGAACUCAAUUGACCUAUAGGUGUGGUCCCAAACUCAAACUCAAGCUAAUACAAAAAUGAUCAAUCAAUAUAGGUGUGGUUCCAAGCUUAAACUCAAACUGAUACAAAAAUGAUCAAUCAAUAUAGGUCCGGUCCCAAAACACGAACUUAAACUAAUAUGAAAAAUAAUCGAUCAAUAUAGGUGCUAUCCCAAAAAUCAAACUCAAAUAAUACAAAAAUCAUUGAUCAAUAUGGGCACAAUCUCAAACCCAAACUCAAACUAAUAUGAAAAUGACCAAUCGAUAUAAAUGCAAUCCCAAACUCAAACUCAAUUGAUACAAAAAUGACAGAUCAAUAUAUGUGUGGUCCCAAACUCAAACUCAAAUUGAUACAAAAAUGACCGAUCAAUAUAAGUAUAGUCCCAAAACUCAAACUCAAACUAUACAAAAAUGAUUAAUCAAUAUAAGUGCAGUCCUAAACUUAAACCCAAACUCAAACCGAUAUGAAAAUGACCAAUUGAUAUAGGCGUGGUCCCAAAAUUAGAACUCAAUUAAUACAAAAAUAACCGAUCAAUAUAGGUAUGUUCCUAAACUCAAACUCAAACUAAUACAAAAAUGAUCGAUUAAUAGAGUUGUUGUCCCAAAACUCAAAAAAAAAAAAAAAAAAAAAAAACCAAUCAAUAUAGGUGCAGUCCCAAAAUUCAAAUUUAAACUAUACGAAAAUGACCAAUCAAUAUGGGUGUAGUCUCAAACCCAAACUCAAACUAAUACAAAAAAAAUUGAUCGAUAUUGGUGUAGUCCCAAAACUUAAACUCAAUUGAUACAAAAAUUACCGAUCAAUUUAUGUGCGGUCCCAAACUCAAGCUCAAAUUGAUACAAAAAUGACCAAUCGAUAUAGGUGCAGUCCCAAAACUCAGACUCUAACUAUAAGAAAAUGGUUAAUUGAUAUAAGUGUGAUCCUAAACCCAAACUCAAACUGAUACGAGAAUGACCAAUUGAUAUAGAUGUGGUCCCAAAACUCGAACUCAAUUGAUAUGACAAUGACUGAUCAAUAUGUGCGGUCCUAAACUCAAACUCAAAUUGAUACAAAAAUGAUCGAUCGAUAUAGAUGUAGUCCCAUAACUCAAACUCAAACUCAUACGAAAAAUAAUCGAUUGAUAUAGGUGUGAUCCCAAAAAUCAAACUUAAACUAUACGACAAUGACCGAUCAAUAUAGGUACAAUCUCAAACCUAAACUCAAACUAAUACGUAUUUGUGCGGUCCCAAACUCAAACUCAAAUUGAUACAAAAAUGAUUGAUCAAUAUAGGUGCAGUCUUAAAAACUCAAACUCAAACUAUAUGAAAAUGACUUAUCAAUAUAAGUGCGGUUCUAAACCCAAAUUCAAACUGAUACGAAAAUAGUCAAUUGAUAUAGGUGCGGUCCCAAAACUCGAACUCAAUUGACCUAUAGGUGUGGUCCCAAACUCAAACUCAAGCUAAUACAAAAAUGAUCAAUCAAUAUAGGUGUGGUUCCAAGCUUAAACUCAAACUGAUACAAAAAUGAUCAAUCAAUAUAGGUCCGGUCCCAAAACACGAACUUAAACUAAUAUGAAAAAUAAUCGAUCAAUAUAGGUGCUAUCCCAAAAAUCAAACUCAAAUAAUACAAAAAUCAUUGAUCAAUAUGGGCACAAUCUCAAACCCAAACUCAAACUAAUAUGAAAAUGACCAAUCGAUAUAAAUGCAAUCCCAAACUCAAACUCAAUUGAUACAAAAAUGACAGAUCAAUAUAUGUGUGGUCCCAAACUCAAACUCAAAUUGAUACAAAAAUGACCGAUCAAUAUAAGUAUAGUCCCAAAACUCAAACUCAAACUAUACAAAAAUGAUUAAUCAAUAUAAGUGCAGUCCUAAACUUAAACCCAAACUCAAACCGAUAUGAAAAUGACCAAUUGAUAUAGGCGUGGUCCCAAAAUUAGAACUCAAUUAAUACAAAAAUAACCGAUCAAUAUAGGUAUGUUCCUAAACUCAAACUCAAACUAAUACAAAAAUGAUCGAUUAAUAGAGUUGUUGUCCCAAAACUCAAAAAAAAAAAAAAAAAAAAAAAACCAAUCAAUAUAGGUGCAGUCCCAAAAUUCAAAUUUAAACUAUACGAAAAUGACCAAUCAAUAUGGGUGUAGUCUCAAACCCAAACUCAAACUAAUACAAAAAAAAUUGAUCGAUAUUGGUGUAGUCCCAAAACUUAAACUCAAUUGAUACAAAAAUUACCGAUCAAUUUAUGUGCGGUCCCAAACUCAAGCUCAAAUUGAUACAAAAAUGACCAAUCGAUAUAGGUGCAGUCCCAAAACUCAGACUCUAACUAUAAGAAAAUGGUUAAUUGAUAUAAGUGUGAUCCUAAACCCAAACUCAAACUGAUACGAGAAUGACCAAUUGAUAUAGAUGUGGUCCCAAAACUCGAACUCAAUUGAUAUGACAAUGACUGAUCAAUAUGUGCGGUCCUAAACUCAAACUCAAAUUGAUACAAAAAUGAUCGAUCGAUAUAGAUGUAGUCCCAUAACUCAAACUCAAACUCAUACGAAAAAUAAUCGAUUGAUAUAGGUGUGAUCCCAAAAAUCAAACUUAAACUAUACGACAAUGACCGAUCAAUAUAGGUACAAUCUCAAACCUAAACUCAAACUAAUACGAAAAUGAAUAGUUGUAGUCCCAAAACUCAAACUCAAACUGAUACGAAAAUGAUUGAUCAAUAUAGAUGCAGUCCCAAACCCAAACUCUAAAUAAUACAAAAAUGACUUAUCGAUAUAGGGACAAUCAAUUAUUAACAAAGUAAUUUUAAGGAGCAUGCCAAUAGAGCAAUUUUAAGGAACAUGCCAAUUUAGUGUAAAAUAAAACAAAGACAAAAAAAAAAUAGAGGAAAUGAAAAGAUAAAGAUUUUUUAAUUUGAUUUGAUGAAAAUUUUAAUUGAAAUAAAAUUAAAUCAUCAUAAAAAAUACUUUUCCAAAAUUUUCCUUUUUUGUUUGUUAGAAACUAGUGAAAAAAAAUAUUUUUUUUUCCUUUCUUUGAUGGUUUUUUCUUUUAUCAAUUUUCAUUAUCUAAAUUUCUAAAAACAUUAAAUACGUAUUAUUCAACUGAGGUUAUCGAUAAAAUUUUUGUCUAAAUCAUUUAUUUAAUAUUUCUUUUUUUAAUACUUUUAAAGAAUGAAUAUUAGUUUUUUUUUUUCUUGUAUCUAAACUUUAAAAAAAUAAUUUUUUCCUUUUUUUUAAUAUUUUUUAAUGAUCUGUGAUUCUACUAAUUUUACUUGAGCAUACUUUCCAUGCAUGAAAUCUGCCAAAAAUGAUAUAAAUGUGGAUGAAAAUUGUAGAUAAUAACCUUGCUUACAUUUUUUAACCAUCAAUGACAUUUGGGCAAUAUUUUUAUUAUAGCAUCUAAAAUCGGCUAAGUGGCUAAUUCAAUUCUAAUACUUAUUAUUUAAUAACUUAAGUUAAAUUAUUUUUAAAUUAUUAACUCGAACUUAUUAAUUAUUUUUUUCCUUAAGCAUUAAGUUUGUUUGAUAAAGUUAACUUACAAUUUAUUUUAAAUUAUUAAAUUUACAUAUUUAACCUCAUUAAUUUUAAUUAAUAUUUAUAAUUUCAAUAAUUAUAAACAACAAAUUUAUUUGUUAAGUACCCAUAUUUAAAAUAUUAUAGAUGUAUAAGAUAAUUACAAAAAUGUUUACUAUAAAAGAUAGUUGUGAAUGUAAAAUUAUAAUUGUAAAAUAUACUCUUAGUAAACAUAGAUAAAUAAGGCAAAAGAUAUUUGAGGUUAAAAAUAAGUCAACUAUUUUGAUUUAAUGAAUGAAGUUAUUUUUUACUUUAAGUUAUAAUAUUAAGUUGUUUUAUAAAAUAUGUUUAAUGUAGGAGGUGUUUGUUAAAACUUAAUGCUUAUUAUUAAAUAUGUGAACUUAAAAAUAAGUUUGGACCCCGCAUUUUUGCACAAUGUGUUCCCACUCGAUGGCAAAGCUCUUUUUUUUUUUUAUUUGAUGAAAAUUUGAUUUUUAGAAAAAAAAAACUUGAAGUCGCCACUUGUUUUUGUUUUAUUUUUUUAAGGAAAAAAAAUAAGAAAUAAAACCUUAAGUGUGACUCCUUAUUUGGAAAACAUGGUCUGUGAAAAACCAAAUCUAAAUCCAAGGGUCAUGUUACAUAUUAGGAAUGUACAGUAAAGACCAUAGUACCCCUCUAAGCCCCUAAAAAUGGGUGUCUACUAAAUAAAGUGAAGCAAGCAUGACAAUUAACUAGGAAAUCCGUAGAUACCAAAGAAAUGAUCGAAUAAUAAAAUAAAUCAUGUAUGAGAAUAAACAAAGUGGGAGUGAGAUCGUACCUUAGGAGCAAGUAAUGGUGCACUAUCAUAGAAACAAGGUUAGCUCAAGUAUAAAAUUAUCACAUGCAUAUCAAAGAGCAAGAUAAAUAUCAAGCAAUAUUCAUUAAGAAUGACAAUUGACAAUCAUAAGAGAAAACUCAUAUGUAGGGCUCCCACCAAAGCCCAAUUAAUUUUGCAUGAAUUAAUCUCACAAAUUCCAUUGUUAUGAAAUUAUGAAAAUCAUAUUCAUGAUUAUUUAAAAUCAAGAGAAACAAAAGAAAUAUUUGAAAAUCAAAGAAAAUUUAUGAAAGUGCUUACCUAAAGGGAAAUGUACCAAGUUUAUUUAAAAACAAGAUUUUUAGUAACAUAAAACCCUAAUGAAUGAUGAAAAGUGGUAGAAUUAAAAAUAUUUGAAAACUGAAGUUGAAUUAAAAUUAUUUGAAAGAAAACUAGAGUUUUGAAAUUUAUUUGAAAAUUAAAGUCUUGAAAAUUAAAUUUAAAAAAAAAAUUUGGAAUUUUGAAAAAAAAUAUUUGAAAAUGGGAGUUCUGAAAAUUAAAUCUAAAAAUUGGGAUUUUAAAAAUUAAAUUUGAAAGAAAUUGGAGUUUCGAAAAUUAUUUGAAAAUUGGAAAAUUAAAUUUGAGGUUUGGAAUUUUGGAAAUUAAAUUUGACAGAAAUUGGAAUUUUGGAAAUUAAUUGAGAAUUGGAGUUUUUUUUAAAAUUAAAUUUGAAAGAAAUUGGAGUUUUGAAAAUUAAUUGAGAAUUAGAGUUUGGAAAUUAAAUUUGAAAGAAACUGGAAUUUUGAAAAUUAAAUUUGAAAGGAAUUGGAAAUUUGAAAAUUAUUUGAGAGUUUGGAGUUUUAAAAAUUAAAUUUAAGAAUUGGAGUUUUUGAAAGUUAAUUUUGAAAGAAAUUGAAGUUUUGAAAAUUAAUUGAGAAUUGGAGUUUGGAAAUAAAAUUUGAAAGAAAUUGGAAUUUUGAAAAUUAUUUGAGAGUUUGGAGUUUUAAAAAUUAAAUUUAAGAAUUGGAGUUUUUGAAAAUUGAUUUUGAAAGAAAUUAGAGUUUUGAAAAUUAAUUUUAAAAGAAAAUAGAAGUUUGAAAAAUCAAAUUUGGAAAUUAUUUGGCAAUGGAAUUUUAAAAAAAUAAAUUUUGACACCAAAAGAUGAAGAAAAACAAAGAGGAUGACACAUUGAAGGCCAUACAUGGCCAUGCAGAAGUGGGACCCGAGAGUACCCCAUUAGUGAACCCACCCCACUGAAAACCUUCAAUUGAACUCAAAAGCAUAAGAAGAUUGCAACAAUUUAGAAAUCCCAAUAAAUAUUACCAACUAUAUAUUAGAUUGAAGACAAGAACGUCUUUACAAAUGCAAACAGACCACAGAUAAAUGCAAUGGCACAUUACAUGAAAAUCUUCUUUGGAACUCAAAAUAAAAUUAGAUGCCAGUUUGAUGAUAAAAAAAAACCAUUAAAUAUUAAUAGCUAUCUUACAUGGAUCUGGAAGCAUGAAUCAUUAUUUGACAAAAGCUUAAAAAAUCCAACAUGUAAAGAUGUAAAAGCCUACUAGAAAUGGAAUAGGAAUAAGCAUAACCAAUUAUCUUAUAGUAUGAUGAGAACAACAUCUCACAUCUUUCUCCUCCGCUAGAGGUGCAGGCUGUUGAUGCCCCUCUCCCAGAAGGUGAUGCUGCAACAGCUCCACCGCCACUAAAAAAGUCGUCACUUCCACCAGUUUCUUUCUUUACCAAGCCUGUUGGUUUCUUUCUUCACCUAACCCGUUUUUCUCACAUUCUCUCCAAAAUGAAGCACCCAUGAACCAUCCCUCUUUAGCUUAGUCCAACUCUCCUCAUUUUUCUCUCAAGCUAUUCUCCGUUUUAGUCUAGCUCCCCUAUUUUUCUCCUAAGCUCUCAAAAUCCUCACCUAUUGAAAACCUCUAUCCCACUCUUUUUUUCUCUCCCGAUCUCCCCUUUCAGCUACUGCCCGUUUUUCCCUCUUCUCUCCAGAAAAUCUUCGCAUUUUUCUUCCUUUUUCAACUCAAUUUAUCUUGCUCCCUUUUCAACUACCACCAGCUCUCUGUUUUUCUUUCAGUUCCCAUCCCAUCUUCCAUCUGUUCCAUUGUUCCCCGUUCAACAAAUAUCACCAUCUCAACCACGACCACGGUAAGAUGGUGAUGUCUGCCACACAUUUCAGUAGCUCAUUCCACCUGGAAAUCGUCCCCUACCCUUCCAAAUGAAAUGCCUAGCUUAUCCAAUCCAAAGAGGGGUCUACAAAUAUGCCCAUCUUCGGUAGAGUUCAUGAGUGUAAGGAAUGUGAACAUUGAAAUGAAAUGAGAGUUUGAAUAAUGAGUGUAAUGAAGUGAACUCUACCGAAGAAAAAGAAAGACUCCUAAAGGUACACAAGUAGAACACAAACUUGCUCAAACCAAUAAAGGAACAAAAAUGGCUUUAAAAUCCUAAGAGAAGGGUAGCUCUCAGAGUGCCUCUAAAGUUGUGUUAUGGAUCCAGACCCCCUCUAAGAUGUCUCCAAAAGUGACUCGAAUAUCAAUGUCAAAGUUGAGCAGUAGUCAAACCACCUAGGAACAUAGGUACAAACAUAUAUAGAUGGAAAACUACACAUGCACCAUACAAGAGCGUGAAGCUCCGGAGCACCAAUGAUACAAUCAAAACAUAAGCUAUAAGCUCAAAGAGUUAUAUCAUACACAAUGGAGGAGGACAAACUCUGGAACAUCAUGACUUUCAACGCCUGAAAUGUGGCUCUAAACGCCAAGACUGAGACGAAUGAUUUUGAACAACUAAACUAUGGCUCUGAACUCCUAUGGGAGGAAUGGUUCUGAAGACCUAUGAGAAUGGUGGCUCUGAACGCCUAAAACUGUAGAAGUGGCUCUGAAUGUCAAUGGAAAAAAAUGGUGGCUUUGAACGCCUAAAUUGGAAAACAUGGCUCUAAACGCCUAAAACUGAAGACAUGGCUCUAAACACCAAACUAUGAACGGUGGCUCUAAACGCCAAACUAAAGAGAGAUAGUGACUCUGAACGCUUGAAAUUGGAAGAGAUGAGUGGCUAUGAAUGCCAAACUGAAGACAUGGCUCUGAAUGCUUAAAACUGGAAUAAAUGGCUUUGAACGCCUAAAAUUGGAAAAUAUGGCUCUGGAUCGUGAGUUCAGGGCUCUAAAUGCUAAGAAUGAAUCUGGGUCAUAAAUGAAAAUAAUGACUUUAGGUCGUGAGCUCAGGGCUCUAAAUGCUAAGAAUGACUCUAGGUCAUAAAUGAGAAGAAUGACUCUGGGUCAUAAAUGAGAAGAAUGACUCUGGGUCGUGAGCUCAAGGAUUUAAAUGCUAAGAAUGACUCUAGGUCAUAAAUGAGAAGAACGACUCUGGGUCGUGAACUCAGGGCUCUAAAUUCUAAGAAUGACUUUGGGUCAUAAAUGAGAAGAAUGACUCUAGGUCGUGAGCUCAGGGCUUUAAAUUUUAAGAAUGACUUUGGGUCAUAAGUGAGAGAAACGAUUCUGGGUCGUGAGCUCAGGGCUCUAAAUGCUAAGAAUGACUCUGGGUCAUAAAUGAGAAGAACGACUCUAGGUCAUGAGCUCAGGGCUUUAAAUUCUAAGAAUGACUUUGGGUCAUAAAUGAGAAGAAUGACUCUAGGUCGUGGGCUCAGAGCUUUAAAUUCUAAGAAUGACUUUGGGUCAUAAGUGAGAGGAACGACUUUGGGUCAUGAACUCAGGGCUCUAAAUGCUAAGAAUGACUCUGGGUCAUAAAUGAGAAGAACAACCCUGGGUCGUGAGCUCAAGGCUCUAAAUGGAAAGAAUGACUGGAUUAUGAAUGAGAAAAACAACUCUGGGUCAUGAGCUCAAGGCUCUAAAUUGAUAGUCAAUCAGGAUGCUUUCUGGCUCGUGGUGUUAGGUCAAGGCCACUCACAGGUGGCUAGAUUAAUGAAAAUGAAACAUCUCAAUGAUGUGAAGGAUAGGAACGACUCUAGGUCGUGAGCUUAGGGCUCGGAAUGCCAUGAAUGACUCUGGCUUAUGAUGCAAUGAGUAACUCAGGGUUACAAUGAAUAACUCAGGGCUAUGAGCUCCAGCCUCUAUAACUGAUCAGCUAAAAAGAGAAUAUGAUACACAAACUCCAGGUCAUACCACUCAUGGGCGACCAAAUGAUGAAGGUUGGAAGACUUUGGGUUUUAAAUAAGAAAAACGACUCUGGGUUGUGAGCUCAGGGCUCUAAAUGGAAAGAAUGACUCUAGGUCAUGAAUGAGAAAAACAACUCUAGGUCAUGAGCUUAGGGCUUUAAAUGGAAAUAAAUGACUUUGGGUCAUAAAUGAGAAAAACGACUCUGGGUCGUGAGCUUAGGGAUCUAAAUGGAAAAGAAAUGACUUUGGGUCAUAAAUGAGGAAAAAAAAAUUGUUAUCAUCAAAAGCCAAGUGACAGGCCCGGGAACAGGAUCAGAUACAUCCCGGAGUCGAGAAGGAGGCCGAGAUCAGAGAGAUGGAGGAUGGGUUAGACCCUCAGAGGGACUUUGAGCAGAGAGGGCCCGAGCUUGACAUUCUGCUUCCACCUCAAUCAGAGGGCAUUCAUGUUGAGGCUACCUUCUCAGAGCCUAUGAUGAUUGAAUCGUCUUUCACAGCAGACCCUUCAUCUCAGCCAUCAUUUACCGAGCUACCAUCUCAGGCACCUCACGUUCUUGAUCAUGUGCCUUGGAUGGAUGUCUCCGCUCAGAUUAGCUCUCUUGGGACUCGUAUGGAGGAGCUUGCCUUAGUACAUGACUCUCGCUUCUACUUUAUGGAGGAGCACCUAGAUCAAUAUCAGACUGGAGUCACUUCUUGGUUUGAUCACUUCCAGCAGCGAUUUGAGCACAUAGAGGAGCGUAUGGAUCAGCAAUAGACUACCUUUGACCAUCUCCAGUAGCGCAUUGAUCGUAUUGAGAGCCAUCAAGAGAGUCAGCAUAAGGAGAUGAUGUCAUAUCUCCGCUCUGUGUUUCCUCCUCCACCCCCUCAUGCAUGUCAUUGUUAUCAUUGUCAUAUCUAUCUUAUUGUACAUGUGAGGUUUCCAUAUAUAUAUGAUAUGAUAUUUUUAUCCAUUGUUCAUUUUUCAUGUUUUACAUUGCUUCCUAUUAAAAAUCGUUUGAUUGAUCCAUGAUUGGUUUGAGGAGGAGAUUUUUUUUUUCUCUCCUAGAUAACCAAGGUUUGUCAUCAUAAGAAAAGGGGAGAUUGUUAGCCCAAGGGUUCUCCUAAUCGGGUUUUGAUGAUAACAAACCAUGGUUAAGUGACUAAUUGGUUUAAAUGUUUAAGAAUCUCAAGUAUAAACUCGAAAAUUCAUCAAAUGACCAAAUGGAUAAAAGAUCGAGACGCUUGGAAGACCUGUGAUCAUAGAAAACUAAUGUAAGAUGAAUGCAUGAGUGCACUUAGGAUUUUCACACGUUUCAUGCAUCUUUGAAAACUCGGUUUAUUAUUUAAAACGUCGAUUUCAUUAAAACUCGAGUUUUUAACUAAUGUACCUUAGGCAAAAUGUUUUAUAAUUUGCUUAAUAAUUUACCUAAAGACCUUGCCUAAGUGUUAGAAAAUAAAAUAAUCAAAAAAUAAGUUUUCGGGGCCAAAAAAGUCUCAACCGGUUGUGGUCGUCCAAUCGAUGACCGAUCGAGGGAGGUCAAAAAUCUUCUCUCUCUCCCAGUAGCCUUCUCUUCCCGGUCGAGGUGUUUCUCUUACCGGUCGAGGACCGGUCGAGGUCCGAUUGAGGUAAUGGUAACCUGUCAUUCAUUAAAUGCUUUAACGGCUAGUAAAUCGAUUGACCCCUAGCUCGACCGGACAAGGUUACCUUUUACUGUUUUUGACUCCCGAGCUUAGAAACCUAUAAAUUGAGAGCUCCAUUUCAUUUAUUGACAAGAGAACACUUGCAUUCAAAGCCUACCUACCUGUUCUUUAUCAAAAAGCUCUCAUUUCUUUCACAGUGCAUUAAAUCACCACUUGCAUAUCCUUUAGUGCACUCUUGUUUGUCAUCCUAGCUUUGUCUUGUAUUUGAGCCAUCUUUAAGCUAGGUUGAGUGAUUAUAUCUUGUGUAAAAGCCCAUUGGAACUGGAAUCCAAGUGUAAGAAGAUUGGAAGCUUGGUUGAAGCUUCAAGUUAGUGGAACCCUCACUCGGUUAGGAGGUUGAGGAGAGUGGACGUAGGCAAGGAAGUGUCGAACCACUAUAAACCCGAGUUUGAAUUAUCUAAGCUCUAUCUCUUUACUUUGCUUAUAUUUUGUUUAAAUUUGUUGUGAUUGAAAAGAUUUUAAAAACUCAAUUCACCCCCCCCCCUCCCUUUGGGUGUUUUUCUUAACUAAACAUAGCCUUUGUUUUCUCAAAAACGACUUUGGGUCAUAAGUGAGAAAAACGACUAUGGGUCGUGAGCUCAGGGCUCUAAAUGGAAAAGAAAUGACUCUGGGUCAUAAAUGAGAAACACGACUCAGGUCGUGAGCUCAGGGCUCUAAAUGAAAAAGAAAUUACUCUGGGUCAUAAAUGAGAAAAACGAAUCUAGGUCAUAAGCUCAGGGCUUUAAAUGGAAAAGAAAUGACCCUAGACAUAAAUGAGAAAAAAUGACUUUGGAUCGUGAGCUCACGACUCUAAAUGGAAAAGAAAUUACUCUGGGUCAUAAAUGAGAAAAAUAACUCUAGGUCGUGAGCUUAAGGCUCUAAAUGGAAAAGAUGAGUCUCGGUCAUAAAUAAGAAAAGUGACUUUAGGUCGUGAGCUCAAGGCUCUAAAUGGAAAAGAAAUGACUCUGGGUCAUAAAUGAGAAAAAUGACUUUGAGUCAUAAGCUCAAGGCUUUAAAUGGAAAAAAAAAAUGACUAUGGGUCAUAAAUAAGAAAAAUGACUCCAGGUUGUGAGCUCAGGGCUCCAAAUGCUAAGAAUGACUCUAGGUCAUAAAUAAGAAGAACAACUUUGGGUUAAAAGCUCGGGACUCUAAAUGCUAAAAGAUGACUCUAGGUCAUAAACAAGAAAAACGACUAUGGAUCGUGAGCUCAUGGCUCUAAAUGGAAAAGAAAUGACUAUGGAUCAUAAAUGAGAAAAACGACUCUGGGUUUUGAGCUCAAGGCUCUAAAUGGAAAAGAAAUGACUUUGGGUCAUAAACAAGAAAAAUGACUCUGGAUCGUGAACUCGAGGCUUUAAAUGGAAAGAAUGACUCUGGGUCAUAAAUGAGAAGAAUGACUCUAGGUCAUGAGCUCAGGGCUCUAAAUGGAAAAGAAAUUACUCUGGGUCAUAAAUGAGAAAAAUGACUCUGGGUCAUGAGCUUAGGGCUCUAAAUGGAAAAGAAAUGAUUUUGGAUCACAAACAAGAAAAACGACUCUGGGUCGUGUACUCAGGGCUCUAAACAUCUAAAGUGAAGAAGAUGACUCUAAAUGCUAAAUUAAAAGAAAAUGAAAAAUCCAAAUGCUAGCAAUGUGGCUCUGAACGUCGAACUAAAAGAAAAUGGUGGCUUUGAAUGCCAGACUAACUAAUGGCUCUAAAUGCCAAACUGGAGAACGAUGGCUCUAAAUGCCAGACUAUGGAGAAAUGGUGGCUUUGAAUGUCGAACUGAAGACAUGGCUCUGAACGCCAAACUGCGAAGGAGUGAUGAGAGGGAAUAUGCCCUAGUGUGGCGUGUCGUCACAACUCUCGAUCCAUAAAUCAUAAAGCCUGAAGAAGUAUCAUAAUAAUCUGGAUGUCUCUAACUCAAGAUACUCUGCUGGAGGAGCCUAUCGUCGUCUCAAAGGAACGACCCACUAGGGAGUCUCAAGAAAAAUAGUCCACUAAAGAAGCUAUCACCAUGUCAACAUAACAAUCUACUGAAGAGUCAUAGGUACUGAAAAUGUCAAAACUCAAAAUUCGGGCUCCUUUGAAGGCUCAUCUCGACAUAAAUCAUCGAUACUAUGACCAGUAAUGCGAAUAACUAUCCUUCAACUGAAUAAAUAAAAUGGUAACAGCUCCAUGAGAAGACGAUCAUCUCCAAAAUAGAAAAGGGGAAAUAUGCCCCAGUAUGGUAAUUGACGCAUCCGCCUAUGUAGAUAACCAAGGAAAAUAUGCCCCACUAUAGUAACUAAUACAUCUGAUCCAUCCUGAUAACUCGAGGAUAACUCAAUGGGGAUGUAUAAAAGAUCUGACAUGUACUCCACUGAAAUGAUGAUAAGGGAGUCUAUGCGCCUAAGAUAACUCCAUCACAAAAUCACGACAAUAUUAGAAAGUAUGAGUCUAACUGAAUGACUCAAGAAAGGCUCCACUAAGGAAUCAUCGUAAAAUAAAAGUAGAUCAUCAACUCGACAAGUAUCUCGUAAAUGGGGAUGAUCAUGAAAAUCAAUGGAGAUUUACAAAUCUCAACCAAAAUGGAAAUAUGCCCCAAUAUGGCAUUAGAUGUGUGGUAGGUCAAAAAAUCAGAUGGCACCAAAUCAUCCAUCACCAAGUGUAUAAUCCUAAUCAUCCAUUUCCACAGUUGAAUCGGAUCCACAAAUCAAAUAAGUGUCUCCCAAAAGAAGAAGCAUGAUGAUAUCUAAAUGCCGAAAAGUGUGAGCCUAACUAAAUGGCCCAAGAAAGACUUCACUAGGGGAUCAUGAUAAGAUAACAAUAGACUAUCAACUCGACAUGCAUCUCAUGAGUGAUGAGGAUCAUGUGACUCCAUGAAGAUCUAUAAAUCCCAACUGAAAGGGAAAUAUGCCCCAAUAUGGCAUCAAAUGUAUGAUAGGUCGGAAAAUCAAAUGACAUCAAAUCAUCCAUCAUCAAAUGUGUAAUCCUAGUCAUCCACGUCCAUAACUGAAUCGGACCCACAUAUGAAGGAGGUGUAUCCCAAAAGGAAAAGCAUGAUGACAUUCAAAUGCCAAAAAGUGUGGGUUAGAUUGAAAUGGCUCAAGAGAGGCUCCAUUGGAGGAUCACAAAAAGAUAACAAACAGGUCAUCGUCUCGGUGUGUAUCUCGUAAGUAAGGAUGAGCAUGCAACUCCAUGAAGAUCUAUAAAUCUCAACCAAAAUGGAAAUAUGCCCCAGUAUGGCAUCGAAUGUGCGGUAAGUCAGAAAAUCAGAUGACAUCAAAUCAUCCAUCAUUAAAUGUGUAAUCUCAGUCAUUCAAAUCCAUAGCUAAAUCAGAUCCACAAAUCAAAUAAGCGUAUCCCAAAAUAAGAAGCAUGAUGACAUCCAAAUGCCGAAAAGUGUGGGCCUGACUGGAUGGCUCAAGAAAGACUCCACUGAGGGAUCAUGAUAAGAUAUCAAUAGACUAUCAGCUCGACAUACAUCUCGUGAGUGAUGAGGAUCAUGUGACUCCAUGAAGAUCUACAAAUCUCAACCAAAAGAUAAAUAUGCCCCAGUAUGGCAUCAAAUGUAUGGUAGGUUGGAAAAUCAGACAACCACAAAUCAUCCAUCAUCAAAUACGUGAUCCUAAUCAUCCUUAAUCUCAAACACAUGUCUAAUAAGGGUUGUCAAAUACAAUAAGUAAAAAUAAUGAGAGAAUAUGAAGCAAAACAAGUCGCAGAUAGAAUAAAGAAAAAGAGAUGAAGAACACAACCAGUGGGAUGUGAUGAAAUGCGGUAGUGUGAUGGUAGGAAAAAUAAUGAGAAAAAGAUGCACCCGUAGGCCCAAGGCUCAUGAAACUCCUAAAUGAAGCAUGCAUACACCAAAGGGCCCCUAUCCCGGUGUAGAAAUGUAAGCAAGGCAAUAAGAAAGAAAGACUCUAAUGCAGAUGCGAAGCUCAAUGGGCUAGCAAUGGUUUGUAUGUCAAAAGGAAAUAACAAGGUAUAUGGCUAACCGAAAUGAUAGCCACCUAUCCUGCGACCAUGGUCUCAAACAUAAUACUUCUUCAGCUGAUCUACAUUAGUUAGCUCUGAGAAUCAGUUUCCAUUUAGACCCAUCAACCAUGCAGUACUCUAUGGGGCCAGCUCCCUAAUGAAAUAAGGUCGUUCCAAUUGGGUCUGAACUUUUCUCUAAGAUCUCUGAUCAAUCCCUUGAUGACCUUCAAAACCAAGUCACCUCCCUGUUGCGGUCUAGGCUUGACCCGUUUUUUAAAUGCACAAGUCAUCUUCCUCUUAUAGGCACGAACAUGGUCUAUUGUCGUCAAUCUCCUCUCAUCUAAGAGAUUGAGCUAGUCUAAUCGAGCCUGGGCCCAAUCUAUCUCUGAAAUCUGCUACUCCAAUGCUACCCUCAAUGAACCCAUCUCUAUCUCAACUAGUAGCACUGCCUCCAUACCAUACACCAAGGAGUAAGGUCUUGUAGAGGUGCGAAAAGAAGUCCAAUAAGCCCACAAUGCAAAUGGAAGCUUGUCUGGCCAAUCCCGAGAAGUCUCAAUCAUCCUUCGCAAGAUCCUUUUAAUAUUCUUAUUCGCAGCCUCUACCGCUUCGUUAGUCUAUGGCCUGUACACAGACAAUCUAUGAUGUUGGAUACCAUAUCUCUGUAAUGAAGUGUCAACAUCUACUCUGAAAUGUACUUCUCUAUCUAAAAUCAACUCAUGAUGAACUCCAUAACGAUAGAUAAUAUGUGAUAUGAUGAAACUGGCCACCCUAGAUGAUGUCAAUCUCGCAUAUGAAAAAGCCUCCACCCACUUGGUGAAAUAAUCGAUGGCGACCAAGAUGAACUCAUGACCACUGGAAGACUUCGGCGAAUCUUCCCAAUAAUAUCUAUACCCCAUACUGAAAAUGGUCAUGGCGAAGUCAAUGCAUGUAACUCUGAAGAGGGUACGUGAAUAAGGUCCCCAUGAAUAUGGCACUCUGGACAUCUCUAAACAAACUGGCAACAAUCCGUCUCCAUAGUCAACCAGAAAUACUCGGUUCUCAUGAUCUUACGAGCUAACAUAUGUCAUCCCAUAUGUGGUCUACAGACUCCAACAUGAACCUCUCUUAUCACUCGAUCGGCAAAGGCACGAUCUAAGCACAAUAGUAACAUACAAUCAGUUGAUCGUCUGUACAAUGUCUCUCCAUAUAUCACAAAUCGGGUGGCUAACCAUCUCAAUUAUCUCUUAUCCUUGGUCGUGGCGACCUCAGGAUAUACGCCAAGUCUUAGAAACUGAUAUAUGUCAUGGUACCAAGGCAAACCAUCCUCUAACUCUGUCUCAUCAAUCAAGCAAAAAUAGGCAAGAACUGACCUCGACUCAAUCAGUAAAGAGCGAACAACGGUAUCAGUAGGAAUAUCAAUCAUGGAAGCUAGAGUAGUUAAGGCAUCAGCAAACUAGUUCUGCACUCAGGCAGAUGUGUAUAACUUAAAUCAUCAAAUCUCCCAACCAGUAGCUUUAAGUAUGCAUGGUAAGGUCUAAGCUUCACAUCUCUAGUCUUCCAAUGACCCUAAAUUUAUCUCAAUACUAGAUUAAAGUCACCAAACACCUUCAUCUGUCUAAUCCCGAGCUCAAUAGUUGUCUCUAAUCCCAAUAUACAAGCCUCAUACUCAACAAUAUUGUUCGUGGCAGGGUGUCAAUCAGAAAAUUUCAAACGAGCAGAUCUAGGAAUAUGAUCACCAUGAAAGGAUAUCAAUAGAACACCUAUCCCGUAUCCAGAAUGGUUGACCAUACCAUCAAAGUACAUGUGCCAACCUGACAAACUAGUCACUGUAGCGAAAUCCUCAUCUAGAAAGUCAUCAACAAUAGCUCUACCAUCAGAAACUGGUAAUGAGGUUAAGUGAUCUGUAACAAUGCUCCUUCUGAUAGACUUCUGAGUGACAUAAUGAAUAUCGAACUCAGUCAGGAGUACCAACCAUCUCAUGAGUCGAUCAAUCAAAGCAGGCCUAUCAAACAAAUAUCUUAGAGGAUCUAAACGAGAUAUCAAGUGCACUUAAUACUCCAUCAUGUAAUGUCUCAAUCUCCGAGUAGCUAAAACCAAUGCCAAGCAGAAACGCUCAAUCAUGACAUAUCUCAUCUCAUAAUCAAGCAUCCUCUUACUCAAAUAAUAAAUAGCUCACUCCUUUCCCGAAUCAUCAAGCUAAGCUAACAUGCAUCCCAAGGCUAUGUCUGAGACUGACAAGUAUAGGAGUAAAGGACGACCUGGUGUAGGAGGCAUCAGAACUAAAGGUGACAAAAAAAUACUCUCUGAUCCUCUCGAAUGCACAUUGACACUGAUCAUCCCAAACAGUAGGCUAAUUCUUCCUCAAGAGUCAAAAAAUGGGCUCGCAAAUAUCUGUCAAUCUGGCGAUGAAUCUACUGAUGAACUGAAGUCUACCCAAGAAACCUCUGAUCUCUCUCUCAAUCCUCUACACAGACAUGUUAAGGAUGACUCUAAUCUUAUUUUGGAUCUAUCUCUAUGCCUCUCUCAUUGACCAUGUAUCCCAACAGUUUCCUAUAAGUCACUCCAAAAGUGCACUUCUUGGGAUUUAGUCUCAAUCUGAAUCGUCUGAUCCUCUCAAAGAAUCUCUCUAAAGCUGCUAGGUGAUCUACUAUAUUUCGGGAUUUCACUAUCAUGUCGUCUACAUAGACCUCGACAUCCUAAUGCAUCAUGUCAUGGAAAAUGGUAGUCGCUGCUCUCUAGUAGGUAGUUUCUGCAUUCUUCAAACCAAACGACAUCACUCUGUAACAGUAAGUACCCCACUCAAUAAUGAAAGACGUCCUCUCCAUGUUCUUUUGAGCCAUCAAAAACUGACUAUACCUAGAAAACCCAUCCAUAAAAGAUAACAUCGAAUGACCUACUGUACUAUCGACUAGCAUGUCUAUGUGUGGGAGAGGAAAAUCAUCCUUGGGACUGGCCUUGUUGAGAUCUCGAAAAUCAAUGCAGACUCUCACAUUGCCAUCAUAUUUUAAGAACAGGGAUGACAUUGGCCAACUACUCAGGAUACUCAACCACUGAUAAGAAUCCCACACUGACCUGCUUUUGAAUCUCCUCUUUCACCUGUAAACUCCAACGAGGAUGUAAUCAUCUCAACUUCUGCUUAACCGAUUUGACAUGAGGUAGAAGUGGCAAGUGAUGUUGGACUAUAGAUGGAUCAAGGUCCGACAUGUCCUCAUAAGAUCAUGCAAAAACAUCAAAAUAUGAUCUAAGCAACUAGGCGAGGCUAUCCAUCUCAUCUGUAGACAAAUCUAAUCCAAUCCUCAACUCCCUAAGUUGGUGUGUUGUUCCAAAAUCAACAAUCUCAGCGUCUCCUGUGGUAAGCGAAACUCUCUGAUCACUAGGACUCAAAUCAGAAGCAGAAGAAGAGUCUUCAUCUGAAUCGUGUUGUACAAUCUCAUCAUCUAUAUAAAAUAUAUGUGAUGUGGGUGAAUAAGGUGCAGAUAAAGUGAUGUCACAAGAGACAGGCAAAUACUAAAAAAGACUCAUAUCCAUAUAUGAAGAAAGAGUUAGUACAUCAUCAGAACGUGAGAUAAAUCCCAACAAUACAUCAAAAGAAAGUGGUGGGUCCACAUGCUCAGACUCUACCACAAUUGGGCUAGUAACACCCACAAAUACAUCAUCAUCAAGAGCAACAAUAGUAAGCAGCCCAAGAGCAGGGACAAGCUAAACAUCCUCAACUAUCUCGAUAGCAAGUACCCCAAACAAAUCGAGUGGAGAAGUAGUCGUUGGAUGAACAUCAUCGGUAAUCUAACUCAUGUCUACCAUGAGCAUCUCAUCACUAUACUCGUCACACGAAAUAGCCCCAUCUAUCGUGUUUGCAACCUCGACAAAUGUCCCAUACUCAUCAGUCUCCUUUGGAAAAUAAAGCAUCAAUUGGCUCGUACGAUCUGGAGACAGAGGAGUAACCAAAACAUAAUUGGAAGUGCCAGGAGCUCCGUACCUCAACUGUAACUGACGAACUAGACGUUGAAGCUCAAUCUUCUAAUCAACAGUAAGUCCAUUGGUAAUCGUCUCUGAAUGCAUCUAUGCCUCUAGUGCCCUCACAAAAUAAUAUACUAAGCUCAUCCUAUAUCGGCGAAUAGGACGGUCAAUUGGCAUGUGGAGCAAAUGAGCUAUGAGUCUCUCCUUGCGCUGAAGCACCAUGUAUCUGUAUUUGGUUUCUGUAGGAACAAAACCAAUAUCGAAAUGAGUAUCAUGGUCAACUGUGGCAAUGAACUCUCCAAAGCCAUGCUAACGACACCCUAAACCCAAGCCAGGUAAGAAAGACAUAAAUCUCAUCAUGUCCAAAACCACUAUACUACCAUGCUCAUCAAAUGGGAGCGCCACAUGAUCUAUACAGAACUGCUCAACCUCCACAAUCUGUAUCUCGUCAAAGGUGAAGCCAGUAAAAAAUAGGUCGUCAUCGCCAUGACUAAUCUCUAAUACUAGCUCGGAAGUAGAAUAAGAAUCUCUAGUAGACUAUAUAGUAAUGACUCUGCCCUCAUGUAUGAACUUCACCUUCUAAUGAAGGGAAGAUGGUAUAGUUUCUGCUGUAUGGAUCCAAGGCUGACCCAGCAACAAGUUAAAGGAUGUGGAAAUCCUCAAAACCUGAAAUAAAGCAGAGAAUGUGACCAAGCCUAUCUGCAAAUCCAAUGUCAAUGUACCUAAAACCUCUCUACGUGUUUUGUCAUAGGCCUUAACUAUUUAAGAAUAUGGCUCAAAGUUUGAAGGUCCGAAGCCAAGAGUGAUUGUUGUAGUUAGCGGGCAAACAUUUAGGGCAAAGACAUUAUCCAAAAAGGCAGAUGGAACUUGAUGCUCGGAACAACCAACAAAAAUGUAGAGAGAUAGAGUAUGGUUAGAACCUUCAUGGGGUAGAUCAUCAGCAAAGAAGACAAUGCAUGUGGCCCUGUCAGCUGUCAACAUGCGGAUCAAUCCCUUAGGAGAGGUAGAUGUCUCAACUCAUAUCUGACUCAAUGCCCUGACCAAUGCUUCCCAGUGGGAUGUAGAUGAUGCCAAAAGACUCCAAAUGAAUAUGCGGACCUGAGUGCUCUGGGGUUGCCUCAAAAUCUCAUCAUCCUCUUGUUUGGUCUCUUCUCGAGUGGCAUCGCUCUCUAAAGGUCUAGCAACUAUGGGAGGUUGUUGUUGUACCACCCUUCCCCCACAGAUGACAUACUAAACAUCCUGAGCAACCGUCUCAUCAGGAUCUCGACUCAAUAUAAAUGAAGACUGAAUGUUAUAGCAUGGGUGAAUCAACAGCCCAAUCGUGGUCAACUGCAAUGGUGGCGUGUCAUGGACCAGUCUAAAUGGUGUAGAUGCUUAUGAGUUUGAGAUCACUCCAUCAACCUCAUAGCUCUCAUCCACUACUAUGGGCUCUGGCUCAUAAUCAUCCUAACUCAGCAUGUGAAUGUGAUCAUCAGGCUCAAUGAAAUCCAUGAAAUGUAUACCGCCAGUUGGCAGAGGGUUAGUGGUAACACUUAGCUGACCCAAAUGAACCAAACUCUGACCUAUCAAGUCCUGGAUGGCAUGCCUCAAAGCAACGCAAUGGUAUGUGUCAUGCCCUGGGCCCUGAUGGUAGGAACAAUGUAAAUCCAUCCUGAAGUGAAGUGGCAUGGGCUGAGGUACAGGCCGAAGAGUUAACUGAGUCAACAAGCCACCCUCCAUGAGCUUUUGGACAGCUCGGCUCAAAGGUAUACCUAGCUAGGAGAAUUGUCAUGUCGGUCUCUGCACAAAAGGAAUAGUAGUAUGUGGGGCUCGGGGUCGAGGGUAUAAAAUAGGAGGUCUCUCUAUAACCUAUGCAACAAAAAUAAGUUAUGAGACUGGAUAUAGAUAAGUAGGAGCCAUGGAUCUGGAGGGAGCAGGUGGCCUAUACUGCACAUGAGGUGAUGGUGGGUAGUAGAAUCCAGAAGUCUGCCCAACUAUCUAAUAGUGUCUAGGAGGUCUCAACCCUGCUAAAAUGAUAGCACUAACAUCUCUUGAUCUCUGUCCUCCUAAAGGCUUCUUCCCUUUAGAGUCAUUAAGGAAAGACUCGAACCAUUAUCCUCUAGCUAUGUCCUCCUCUAUACUGUACAAAGCCUGUAUUAAAGAUCCAAAAUCUGUCUGAGGAAAUCUCAUCAAGUGUCUAGCAAAUCAAAGUUGCAAGCUCCUCUUGAUCAUACUAAUCUGAUCCAUCUCAGAUACCCUAUCAAUAACCUGUGAAAUCUUCUCCCUCCAGCCGUAGAUAAAUAAGGUGAUUGACUCCUCUGGCCUCUACCUCAAAGCCUCUAACUCUCUCCUCGAAACAUCAAUGACAAUAUUAAAUGCAAACUAUCUCAAAAACUCUCCUCUAACUCUCUCCUCGAAACAUCAAUGAAAGUAUUAAAUGCAAAUUAUCUCAAGAACUCUUGGGCCAAAUCAUCCCGAGUCCGGCGACAUGAUACAUCCAAUGAAGCAAACCAACUGUGUGUCACACUACUCAGGGACAUAGGGAAAAGCAUAACCAUUUAGGCCUCAUCCAGUCCAUGGGCCCUCAUAACCGUACUGUAAAGCCUCAAAUGGAUAUGAGGAGAGCCAAUGCACGUGUAUCUCUCAAUCUUAGGCAUCUUAAACUUGGCCAAUAAACUAGCCACUAGUGCUCCAUCAAAAUCCUCCCAGGUAAUAGCUUUGUCUGAAAUAUUCAUUUGUCUCAUCCUCUACUCAAGUCUAUCCAUACAAGCAUAUGGGUCCUCUAAGAUCGGGGUAGGCACUAUGAUAGGAGGCGGGGCAACCUUGGUCUGACUAUGCAGAGUGAAAGGUAUAGCAUGUGGUGCUGACUAACUAGGUGAAGGGGGUGGUGGUACUGUAGGAUCAUACUGUGCAUCAUCCUGGGGCGAGACCUGCUGGGUCUGCUGCCCAUAUAUCCUCUGACCGAGGAUAGUUAUAGCCUCCUGAAUCAAAGCCAUGGCCGAAACAAACUGAUCAACGAUAACCACCUAUGAAUCCAUAUCUCUCUGAUCUGAUAUCUAAUCUAACUGGUCUGAUACUCUGAUCAAUUUACCCUUAACCCUGAUCCAAGAAGCUAAACCCAGACUGGACAUAUCAAUAUUCCUACAAUAGUGGAAAUACUAGAUAAGAUAUAGUGUAAGGAAAACUCUACAAAGAAUGUCUAUCAACUAUGCAGAAAGGUAACCUGGAAGUAUUCAAACUGAUAUCCAAUUCUGAGCAAAUAUAUAAGAGACUACUACAAAGGUAACUAAACCUAUCACUACUGACCUGACUGUGAAGGCCUAUAAAUGCACCCACGUGUAGGAAAGGAAAUCCUAAUCAAAUGAUCUAAGGCUCAACCUACAAGGUCAAGGUGACUCUAAAAAGAAGAGAGAUGGACUUUAAAGGAUUCCUAGUACAAACGAUCAUACCCUCCGAUGAUACGCAACCCUCUACACGCCUCCGAAGAGACGGGCCGCUUCCAUGCAAGGUGGUCAUCACCUCCACACAUAUACUACCUCAACAUCUCAAGGGGUUUCCUAUAGUGAAAACUCUCACAACUCUCAGCACUCAAUAGUCAACUAAAGUGCACAGUGAGUGGUGUGGGUGCAUCCGAAAAACCUAUGAAGUUAAAGCAAAAAAAGAAACACACUGGUCACACAAAUAUCCAUGAAACCUAGCUUUAGGCUAUACAGGUCUUCAAAGAUCGGACUCCAAUCAGCAUCAGUAUGUCCACCUCCUCCAAAAUCCUCACAAACAUCAAUAUAGCUCGUCGCUAGACCCUACUCCUAACCAUUAGCUCGGUCAAAGAAAUAAGCACAUUAAAGGUUUCACACCUGCAAAUAUAAGAACCGAAAGAAAAGGGAAUGACCGAAACUAGAGGGUUGGAAGUAAGGGGAUAGAUGUGCGAUCCAAAUAGACAAGCAACAUACAAACACACAGGAGAAGAGCAGUCAUGCAACAAGUAGUCAAGCAAAGCGCAAGUAUAUCAUCCAUGUCCACACACAAGCCAAAUGAGAAUAUGACAAUCAAAAUGAAUAGCAACACGGAUAGCAUGCUCAAAGAUUAUCAAGAUAAUAUACAAGCAAAUGAGUCAAUCGUUAAGAUAACAAGAUAUACAGCAAUGUGAACAUACAUGUCAAAAUGAGCAGGAUAAUCAUGGCAAGAACAAAACCAAUAUACUAAGACAAUCAAGAGAAUCAAUCAAUAUCAUCAACGUGUCAAUGUCCCAAAUGGAUAUAGCGAUCAAGCAUGGAAAAUCAUCACAUCAAAAUCCUUAACGUGUUAUGAUCACUCAAGCAUAGAGGAGCACAAAGGGAAGGUAUCCAUCAACCGACUAAUCAAACGCCACAUUUCCUUCAUCUUAAGUUCAAGUUUAACCCUCUAAACAUCCCCAAUGGAGUCGUCAUUUUGUGGACCCUGUAUUUUCGCACGAUGCAUUCCCACUAGAUGACAAAACUCGUUUUUUGAUUUUUAGAAAAAGACUUGGAGUCGCCACUUAUUUUUGUUUUAUUUUUUUAAGGGAAAAAAUAAGAAAGAAAACCCUAAGUGUGACUCCUUAUUUGGAAAAAACGGUUUGUGAAAAACCGAAUCUGGAUCCAGAAGUCAGGUUACUUAUUGGGAAAGUACGGUAAAUAUCAUAGCAUCCCUCUAAGCCCCUAAAAAUGAGUGUCUACUAAAUAAGGUGAAGCAAGCAUGACAAUUAACUAGGAAAUCCAUAGAUACCAAUGAAAUGAUCGAAUAAUAAAAUGAAUCAUGUAUGAGAAUAAGCAAAGUGAGAGUGAGAUUGUACCUUAGCAACAAGUAAUAGUGUGCUAUCAUGGAAACAAGGUUAGCUCAAGUAUAAAAUUAUCACAUGCAUAUCAAAGAACAAGACAAUGAUCAAGCAAUAUUCAUUAAGUAUGACAAUUGACAAUCAGAAGAGAAAACUCAUAUGUAGGGCUCCCACCAAAGCCCUAUUGAUUUUGCAUGAAUUAAUCUCACAAAUUCCAUUGUUAUGGAAUUAUGAAAAUCAUAUUCAUGCUUACUUAAAAUCAAGAGAAACAAAAGAAAUAUUUUAAAAUUAAAGAAAAUUUGUGAAAGUGCUUACCUGAAUGGAAAGAUAACAAGUUUAUUUAAAAACGAGAUUUUUAGUUACUUAAAACCCUAAUGAAUAAUGAAAAGUGGUAGAAUUAAAAAUAUUUGAAAACUGAAGUGGAAUUAAAAUUAUUUGAAAGAAUACUAGAGUUUUGAAAUUUAUUUGAAAAUUGAAAUCUCGAAAAUUAAAUUUAAAAAAAAUAAGAAUUUUGAAAAUUAUAUGAGAGUUUGGAGUUUUAAAAAUUAAAUUUAAGAAUUAGAGUUUUUGAAAAUUAAUUUUGAAAGAAAUUAGAGUUUUGAAAAUUAAUCGAGAAUUGGAGUUUGGAAAUUAAAUUUGAAAGAAAUUGAAAUUUUGAAAAUUAAAUUUGAAAGAAAUUGCAAUUUUGAAAAUUAUUUGAGAGUUUGGAGUUUUAAAAAUUAAAUUUAAAAAUUGGAGUUUUUGAAAUUUAAUUUUGAAAGAAAUUGGAGUUUUGAAAAUGAUCUGGAGACCCUAGUAAAAGGUCACUCAUCUCUCAUACCUAACACAUAUCUACCAUGACCCGAGAAGCAUAGGAUACCAUAGAACUCUCACAUGAACCCUCGAGACUCCAAAUGAAUGACAAGAAUGGCUCAAGGAGUGAAAACCCAUAUAAAAAUCUCGCAAGAACCCACAAUGACAAAUAUACCUAAUAAACAGACCUCAAAAGAUGACAUAAGUGCCCAAUGGAGCAAGAUUCCAUACACAAACAUAUCAUUGCGCUUUUUUUUUCUUUUGUUUUUUUUUUUUUUUGUUUUGUGUGUGUGUGUGUGUGUGUGUGUGUGUGUGUGUUUUAGCGCAUGCUCUGAUCAUCAAUAAGUCAAACUCCAAUGGAAAAGAUAUAAGGAAUGAAUAAACUCUCUCAAAUCACUGAUGAAUAUAUGAACCCCAACCCAUGAGACAACCUUUCAAACUAAAAUCUCCAAGUCAAUGCCAAAUGAUGGGAUGAAUGGAGUUAUAUGGUUGCCCUCUUUGCACUAAGAUGUGAAGAAUCAUCAACCCAAGGAAGAGAAAAGAUAAAAUGAAGCAAAUAAUGAUAAAACCAAGAAAGAAAAUGGAAAUGUGAUGAUAGCAAAAUAGAACAAACGGGGUGAUAAGGAGAUGAUGACAAGGAUGAGAAGAUAGGCCUAUAAGUCUAAAGCUCAUGAGACUUUCAUAGCAAAGCAUGCAUAUACACCAAAGGGUCCCAACCCGGGUGUAGAAAUGGUAAUCAAGGCUAUAAGAAAGAAAUAAGGCUAUAACAUACCACAUGAGGCUCAAUGGGCUAGCAAUGGUUUAAUAUAUCAAUAAAGGUCAUAAGGUGUAAGGCUAACCAAAAUGAUGGCCACCCAUCCUGCGACCAUGGUCUUAAAUCUAAUACUUCUUCAACUAAUCCACAUUGGUGGGGUUUGAGAAAUGGUCUCUAUCCAGAUAUGUCAAUCAUAUUUCCUUUCUAGGGUCAACUCUCUAAUGAUAAGUGGUGUACUCCAAGUAAGUCCCUAGGGUCUCCUGGAAUAUAUGAAUCUCCAUGACCAUAAUCGGGUUAAUAUCGUCCUCAAACAUAUCAUCAACAUAAGCGGGAUGCCCCAACAUAAAUAAACCGAAUCUCUUCUGAACUCUCAACAAUGAAGAUCUCAGGCAUAUCAAGAGAGUGAACUAUCUCUGGCUAAUAUGUGCCAAGCAUCCGAUUGUCAUCCAACACAUCCAUCUUAGGCUCAUCAUAAAGAAAACCAUGUCAAUCAAAUCUCCGAUUUGAGAAAAACUAACGUCCUCUAUAAGAACUCUCAUCUGAUAAACUUUGACUCAUAAUCCACUAAACUCAUCAUAUGUACGAAGUCACCCUUAACAAUGUCAUUGACUAACUGGGUGGUGGGGGUGGGUGGUAAUGAAUCAUACGACAUCUCAUCCUGAACUAGAUGUUAUCUAUCUCACUAUCCAUCAAUUCUCUGGCUCAAACUUGCUAAUGUCUCUUAAAUAGAGUCAUGGUGACUGUAAUUCGAUCAACUAUAACAUGCUGAAGAUCCAUACCUGACUGCUUUGAAGCCCUGAUCAAUUUAUCUCCAACUCUAAUCUAAGAAGUCGAAUCUAAACUGAAGCGAAUAACCCUCCUAUAAGGUACAAAGGCACGAAAAGAUAAAUGACAUGAAGGAAACUCAGAAGAGGUGAAAACACACUAAUCACAAUGCAGAAAAGGUGGCCCAACUGAAACUCAAACAUGUACCAAUCUCUGAGCACACCAAAAGAAGACCAUGAAGAGGAAAACUGAACCCAAUUAUGACCAAGGCAGCUCUGAAGGUCCACAGAUGCACCCACGUGUAGGAAUGAAUUCUUAAUUGGGUCUAGGUUAGCCUACAAGGUUGAGGUGACUCUAUAGGAUAAAAUGGGUGGGUUAAAGGAUCCCCAGCAGAAGCGAUCGUACCCUCUAGCGAUACGCAACCCUCUGCACGCCUCGAAUGAGACAGGGUGCUUCCAUGCAAGGUGGUCAUCGCCUCCACACAUGCACUUCCUCGCGUUCCCAAUGGGUUUCCUAACGGUGAAGGCUCUCUCAUAUCUCAACACUCAAGGAUAAUCUAAAGUGCACAGUGAAAUAUGUGGGUGCAUCCGAAAAACCUAAGAUCUAAAGUGAGAUAGUGAACAAAGACAAGCAAUCAUACAAUCAUGCAAGAGAAAGGGUUGUCAUGCAACAAGCAGUCAUGCGAAGCAAAUAGAUAUCAAACAAUCAAAGUCCUAUCUAGCAUAUGUGAGAGUGAAUCAUGUUGAAGUGAGCAAGCAAUCAAGUGAUCAUUCAAGGCAAUCAAACAUGUUAAGAUAGCAAACCAAACAAGCAAGCAAAUCGAAUCACCUUGCCUAAAAAAAGAGGUAUCCACUAAUCGACCAAUUAAACGCCACAUUUUCCUCAACUAGUGUUCAAGCUUGAUCCUCAAAAUCUCUAGCGGAGUCGUCAAUUUGUGGACCCGCAUUUUUCACGUGCGUCCCCACUCGAUCGGCAAGACUCGCUUUUUAUUUGUGUAAAAUUAUUUAGUUUUGGAAAAGUUGGAGUCACCACUUAUUUUAUUUUUAUUUUAAAGGGAAAAUAAAACAAGAAAGAAAAACCCUAAAAUGUGACUCCAUAAUUUCUGAAAAAAAAACAUGUCUUUGAAAAACCCGAGUCUAGGUCCAGGGAUCAGGUUACUUAUUGGGAAGGUACCUCUAGGAGGUAGCACCCCUCUAAGCCCUAAAGAGGUCUUUACUGACUAAAUUGGGGAAAUGGGGCAAUUAAUUGAUUAAUUGUAGAUGCCUAAGUAAGCUAGGUGAUUUUAGAAAGUAGCAUGCUAAAUAAGGAGAUCAAUCACAACAAAGGAGAGUUAGGGUGCGUACCUAAACCACUUCUUAAGCGCUAUCAUAAAACAUCAAUGGUUAAUUCAAAAAUAUGACACGCGACAUGCAUUUUAUCAAGGACGAUCAAACAAGCAUCGAGACAAUCAAGUAUGGCAUCAAACAAGGGCAAUGACAUGCAUAUUCAUGAAAUUUUGGGAACGUACCUGGAUAACAUAUAUAACUCCUAAUGCACUUCCUCAAGACAUGGGGGUUAGAUAAUAAAUAAUAAAUAAUAAAUCCUAGCAUGCUUAUCCAAUUAAUUAGCAAAAAUGAUCAGAAUUUGGAAUAAUUAAUUAUCAUACAUAUCUUGUAUACGAUUCCUAAAAAGAAAAAAUGUAAAUAUAAUUACAAUAAAUAGCAGGGUGGUAGCAAAAAUAAAUUUUGAAAAAGAUUUUCUUAUGUAAGGGUUUCACCAAUUCCCCAAAUUAAUAUACACAAAUUUAACCUAAAAUUGUCCCAUUUAUUUGGGACCACAAGCUUUGAUUCGUGUUUUGUUUAAAACCAAAAAUUUUGUUGAAAAUUGAGAAGGAUGUAAAUCGAUUAAGAUAUGGUUGCAUGUUAUUUUUUAAAUAGAAAAGAGAUUUUGAUUUUAGAGGCUUUAAAUGAAUUUUAAAAAAAAUCUCUUAAAAGGGUUUUUUUUUUUUUUUGAGAAAAAAAGUUUUGUCUUAAAAUAAAGGAAAUUAAUUUUUAAAAUAACAAAAAUAGAAAACAAAAUAUAAAUCAAAACAAAAGGAAACAAAGAUCACGAAAUAAAGAUUUUAGGAAAUCUUGUCAAUUAAAGUGGUGAGAGUAAAGGCCAACCUUCAUGGGUUUCUAGUGGCCCUCAAAAAAUAAAUUUGACCAACAAUCACUAAGACAACAAAUUUAUAACUUCCUAAUCAAAUAAACUAACAAAAUUAUCAUCUAACAACUAACAUUUAGAUUUUAAGAAACACAUGAAUAACUAGAAUUAAACUAAUUGGAAUUAAAAAUGUAAACUUUUCCACACAAGAUCAAUUAAACUAAAGAAUUAAGAUCGAUAACACGUUCAAAUUAAAAAUAAACUAGAAUUUAAAUUAAUCGGAAUUAAAAAUAUGAACUUUACCUUACAAGACCAAUUAAACUAAUAGAUUUAAGAUCAAUAACUCAUUCAAAUUAAAAAUAAAUUAGAAUUUAAACUAAUUGGAAUUAAAAAUAUAAACUUUACCUUACAAGACCAAUUAAACUAAUAGAUUUAAGAUCAAUAACUCAUUCAAAUUAAAAAUAAACUAGAAUUUAAACUAAUCGGAAUUAAAAAUAUAAACUUUACCUUACAAUCCAAUUAAACUAAUAGAUUUAAGAUCAAUAACUCAUUCAAAUUAAAAAUAAACUAGAAUUUAAACUAAUCGGAAUUAAAAAUAUAAACUUUACCUUACAAGUCCAAUUAAACUAAUAGAUUUAAGAUCAAUAACUCAUUCAAAUUAAAAAUAAACUAGAAUUUAAACUAAUCGGAAUUAAAAAUAUAAACUUUACCUUACAAGUCCAAUUAAACUAAUAGAUUUAAGAUCAAUAACUCAUUCAAAUUAAAAAUAAACUAAAAUUAAACUAAAAAUAUAAACUUUACCUUACAAGUCCAAUUAAACUAAUAGAUUUAAGAUCAACAACUCAUUCAAAUUAAAAAUAAACUAAAAUUUAAACUAAUCGGAAUUAAAAAUAUAAACUUUACCUUACAAGACCAAUUAAACUAAUAGAUUUAAGAUCAAUAACUCAUUUAAAUUAAAAAUAAACUAAAAUUAAACUAAAAAUAUAAACUUUAUUUAAACUUUCAUGUAGAUUAAAAUAAACUAGCAUAGAACUAAUGAAUUGCAAUCAUAAAAGAGAGAUAUUUAAUCUAAGAAAAAUAAAAGAUUGUUCAAAAUCGAGAUUUAAAAGAAUUUAUCACAAACAAUUAAUUAAACUAAUCAACUAAAACCCAAACUAAAAAGAAACACUAUAUCAAAAAUCCAAAAACUAACCUAUAUUGUAUCGGAAAAAUACUCUCUUGAUAUGUCGAAAUGGCAGCCCAAUUAGUCAUUCAAGUCCUCUACCGCUCCCUCUAGAAAACUCUUGCGUGUGUUGAUCUCCCCUCAAAGAAAAAGUCUCUUUGCCAAAGAAAAAGUCCCACCGUCCUUCUUCUAUUCCUUUUGGUCCCAUUUAUAUGGCAACCUAUCCUUUUCAUGGAAUAUUUUAUUUCCUUUUGGGAUAUGUAAGUGGAUAUAUGGAAAGUGAUGUUUUAAUUGCAAAGUGGUAUUUUAACUUUUAUGGAAAGUGGUUUUCUAUUUUAUAUACAUCAUAAUUUAAAAAUAAAAAAAAAUAAAAAAAAUAUUAACAAACCUUUUUAAAGGUAAUUAUAAUAAUAAUAACUUAUCAAAUUGGUAUAAACAAAUAUAUAUAUAUAUAUAU